rnacentral:lncRNA from 1 species
UUUUUUUUUUUGUGAAAGCAACGUUUGCUUGGUUUGGUAGGUGAUGAAGGGCUGAAUUUUGGUGGCAUCGAAUGUAUGAAUGGGACCAACAGAAGUCCUUGGCCAUGCUUUGAUUUGAAUCACAAAAUGGUUUGAGAUGCAUUUAUUAUUUAGUGAAUGCCAUUUUUCCACCCAAUUAAUUCAAUAACUUUUUUUUCUUUUUUGAAUGUUAAUAACACUAUAAUUUAAUGUUAUUAUUUAGUAGUUAUUAUAUCUUUAAUAAAAAAACUGAUGCUGAUGACUGCAUUUUUAUUCUUGAUUGUUUUGAUGCGUGUUGAAGUGGAGUCGAUCAACCAUUGCCGUCCAGAAUUUCGAUUUUACAAAGGUUUCUUUUCAUUUGAGACAUGCAAGCGAAAUAAUACUAAUAAAGACGGCAUCAUAAUUAUGAUUUUGUUUUGGAGAAUAUGAACAUGCUAACAAACGAAAUCAAUCUGGCAAAGGAGAUCCAAAACAUUAUGAAUAGGAUAAACAAACUGCCUUCCUUUCAUUUGUUACAAUGAUCUGUUUACUUUGCUCAUCUCUAUAUAUAAAAUAUAUAUGUGGGGUGAAAAUAGUGUGAGGAAGAGAAAGGAUGAUCAUCACUAGCUCUAACAAUCACAGAGCUCGAGAGUCGGGACUCAGCGAGUUAACAGCCACGGCCAGUGUCAUCCAUCAUCUGUUGGAGAAAAACGAUCAUGGAGGCCUGGCCAUAAAACUAUUGCCAUGAAAGUCCAGGGUCACUCGUCAUAGCUCUAGCUUCUGCCAGAGAUACAGCCAUUGCCAGCAUCAUCUGCUCCUCGUAACUUUCUGGAACCAUGGGACCAGGUCCAGCCACACUCUGAAAGCUGCCUCUAAUUUCAUCUUCUUGUGGUAUUGCAGAGAUCCCACCACUAUCUUCUAUGACAUCAGAGCUUGCAUAGCUAGUCCCUGCUUCGGCCACCUCUAAUUCAUGAUUUAUGCCCCAUUUCCCUUCAUCGCUUCCUGGUGUCAUCCCACCAUCACCAACUGGACUCUCUGCAGGAGGAUAGUUCUCACCAACUUGGUGCAACCUAUUAUUAUAAAAUCUCCUGCUGCUGCUGCUGCUGCUGCUGCUGCUGUUGGGAAGCAUAUCAAAUGCUUGCAUACUUCCAUCAUGGUUAAGGGAAGAUUCUCCACCCAUCUGCUGACGCUCAGCUAGGGCAGCUAUUGCACAAGCAAGUCCACCAGAAGGAGAUGAUGAUGAAACCGCGACCGUGGUCGUGGAUGGUAAUACAUAUCCAUCUCCUGAAACAUAAUGCACUGAAGCAGCAGCAUCUACAUAGUUAAGAUUUCUCUGUCUGCUGUUCUCCUGUAUCAGUUCAAUUCAAAGAAUAAACAGUCAGAGAAAAGAAAUCAAUCAAAAGUCUGUGCAUAACGUAGUCGCGUAGAAAUGAAGAUCCUACACAAAUAACAAGAUGACAUUACAAACAUUUUAAAAUUACAAGUUGCAAGUUUUCCUCAUUUGUUUUUUUUUUCCCUGUUAAAUAAAUUCACAUGAAGUUCUUGCCAUCCAAAAUACACUAGUUCAAUAGACAGUUGGGUGCUAUAUGAACAACAAAGUUUUCUGUCCAGCAUCUUAAACUGGAACCAGUUUCUAACCAAAUAACUAUAGGCAAAACACUUUGAUUAAACUGACAGGAGCUAAAUACUUAAAUUCUGCAAUUAGUUUCAUACAUAAAUCUCAUCAAAUUUUGAAAAAUAUACCUGAAUCGACUGCCAAACUGCUUCCAUGACCAUUAUCUCCUCAAGAUCUAUGUCAAAGUCUUCAUCCCUGCAAUUUAAGCAUUUGAUGAAAGAAAAUUUAUUCUUUCUGGAACACAAGAUAAACAAAGUAUAGCCAGAGAGAGAAUAGUACUUGACUACUUGUGAAGUGGAAAACAAAAUACUGCAUCAUCUUUUUCAUUCAAAAGCAAAUAAGAUAUAAAUUUACCAGAACAAAAUGCAACCAAUAAGGUAUUUUACAUUAUUUUUUUAAUUUUGGCAUAACCCUUUCAUAGAAAACAGGAUUGUAAUUAAACCAACUUCAAAUGGUUGGCAUCAUCUUUACACCAACAGAAACUUUAGGAGCAUCUUCUGAACUUACUUUCUGGCUUUUCCCUUCUCAUUCAAAAACAAAGGAAGCAGACGUUCACUGUCAUGUACCCUAAUUUUUGUAUAUAACAGAACUUCCAGUAACCAGGGAGGAUUUACAUCAUUCUUUGUACAACUCAAGAACAUACAGUGCAUCCACUGACCACUUAGCUAUCUAAGAUAGAUUAUCAGCUUUUCCUCUCCCCACAAAAAGUGCAACAGAAAAAAUAAACAAAUUAGUCAUUUCCCUGUAUGUAGAGCUAAAUAUAUGGAACAUCUUGUGCCACUGAACACUAAUUAAAAUGAGUUAGUAGUCACAGUAAAUUAAGGUCUGUUUUUAUAGUUUUCAUCCAUAUCCUCUUUGAACUUUGCCCAUUCACAAGAUCAUCUUCCAUUAAAUCAGAUGUUUCCCUGAAGGAAUUUGUAGGUCACCUCUUUACAUGUUGUAGUCACAUUCCAUCCCCCUCAAUCUAAUCUCUUACGCGUGUCCCCCAUUGCUUUAGAUACUCAUCCAUUAUCUCAUUUUCCAUGUACGUAACAGAUCUAACGAAAUAAAUCUGAUCCCAAAAACACUAGUGAAUGGUGAAAUAAAUCUCACCUCACAAAAGUUGAAAGGAAACACAUUGACCAGUCUUACAACAUGAGUUCUGUGAUCGCAAUACAAACUAGCAACCGUGAUCCAUGCACUUUUCCCCAUCUUAACAUAUGAACAGUAAAUCCUAUGCAAGGACACAAAGUUACCUAAAAGUUUGCCUACCUGUUAACCCUAGGAUGUGACCGUUGUCCAAUCAUCGAGGCAGCCUGUGAAUCUUGAGAAGAAAAUAUUUCCUCCUCCCCGGGGGAUCUAUCUGCAAAUAACGAGAAAAAGGAAGGAAUAAAAUUUCAAGACAGAACAAUGUCAAAGGAAGUGAAGAACGAAUAUACAAGAAAAACCAGAAUAACAAUAAAUUGACACCUGCAAUUGAGUUGUACUGAACUUCUCCUGGUGCAACUGCAGUGCUUGAAGAACUCAAGUCUUGUCUUUUCAGCAUUCUCUCUUCGUCAUCCUGAAGUUCCUGCUGCCUCAUUCUAAUUUGGGCUUCUACGACACGCUGUUCUUCCUGCAAAAUUUAAAUAGCAAAACCCAAUAUUAAACUCAUUUUGUAUCCAGCGAUUAUCAUAGGAAUUACACCAUCUCUUUUUUGCUUUGGAAAGAGGUGUGAACUUACAAUUUGCUCUAUCCCUUUUUCCUCUUUUGUUUUCACACCUCGAUACUCGACAGCAUAAUUUGAGGUUUUGCAGAAAGGACACCUCAGAACGUCAAGGAAUGUAAACAUUGGGGUACAAGUAUACACACAACUAAUCAAUUUGAAAAUUUCUACAGUCAAUUUCAUUGAUGUGAAGGAUACUGGGUAGGACGGGUUGAAUUAGGAUUCUUCAUCUGCAGAAAACACUCUGGUACAAAUAAGAUGUGUCAACAUUUCAUGUAACUAGCAAUAUCAGUAUCAUUCAGAAAAUCCAAAGAUAGUUUACCUGUACAGAUACUUUUCAUACAACAUCUUGAUCUGUUGAGACUUGGAUAAUACUAAAAUACAAAAGGAAAAAAGAAAAUCAUAUUCAUAUUCAACUGCAACUAAUUUUAAAAGCUAACCACACAUGAAUUAACAUUCAAUAAAAAUCAGUAAACAAGGGCACAUUCUAAGCAGUGACUGACAAAGCAAAAGGAUAAAAAGAACAUGAUAUUUGCAAUUGGAUAGCAAUUAGCAAGCAUAAGAAGAAAGCCAAUGAGAUAAAUACAAACCAAAAAGCAAAUUGGGCAUUCUUCAAGAUCAGAACAGCACUCUUCAUCACCAGGAUAGCAAGGAGCAAGCUUUGAUUCAAGUAUCAGCUUUCUUAGUUUCUUAAUAUCCACAUCUUUAUGAACAUACAACCCUUGUGGGCGUGUAUACUUCUCAUCGACCACUUGCCUCCGCCUUCCCAACUUAUUACCCAUCAAAAAGAAUAUCCCAAAACUGUAUCACCUAACUGUUCUCUUUCCUUCUUCUUCUUCCUCUCCUUCGACCCAAUAUUUGAUUAUUUUUCAAAUUCUUCAAGACAAAAACCAAUCAAAAUAACUGCAAAUUUGGUUUUUGGUAAAUUGGUUUACUAAAAAUUACCAACAUAUUAUGAACAAAUAAUCACGUAGAAUCUACAACCAUAAUUCGUAGUUUUACAACAUAAUCAAACACACACACUACAUUAAAACUGAAUUCUAAUCCAAACAAACAAUAGUUCAUUAUCUAAAAUCAUGCCCCAUGAGUCCUGCAAGUGCAAUAAAAAAAAACUUGAAAUUAAACAUAUAAAUAUAUAUAUAUUAAUAGUUAAACAAUGCUUCAAAAUGUAAUAUAGAAACCAAAAUUUGAUUAAAAAGAAAACGCUAAGUUCUGAAUUACAAAAAGAAAUUUAACUUACCAAGUCCAACUUUCACAGCUGAAUUGGCCAGUGUAAUCCUUCCCGAAACAUGGCCAUACCUAUAAUUAAACCAAAGAAAGAAAAACAUUAAGACUAAAAAGAACAAAGUAAAAUGAUUGCAAAAACAGAUUCAUUUACAAGGAAAAAUACAAAUUCGAACCAAAAGACAAAGCUUUUGAACAGAAGAAAAUCGAAGCAAACGAAAAGAAAAAACAGAACUUUACUAAAUUAUGGGCAAAUUGAGAGAAGAAAGAAACUGACCUUGAAACGUGAAAGGGAAUUGGCGGAAGCGAAUUUAGGGGCUUAAAAGAAAGAAAAGGAAAGAAAGGGAAAGACUUUGGCAAGGAGAAUGGAAACACAAUCUCAACUUUCUCUCAGAAAAAGAAAGAAAGAAAGAAUUUUUAUUUUUAUUUCUUGUUGUAAAUUGUUUAUAUUAUCAUUUUUUUGUCAUAAAUAAAAAUGCGCAUACACGUAUUUGUUCUUUUUUCUUAUUCAUGUUUUGGUUUCUUUCGGCGUUUGGAUGUAGACUCUUAGAUAUAAAGACAAACAAAAUACGAGAAAAUGUUAUUAUUUUUAUUUUACAAAAAGAAAAAAAUACUUUUAAACUACUUUUCUAAAAAAUGCAUACAAAUUACAUUUUUUUAUAAAAAAAAAUUGAAAGGAACGAAGGGAUAAUUGUAAUUAAUUAAUCUAUUUUUUUAUUAAUUCACUAAAUCAUCCAAGUUUUUGUUAAUUAUAUGAAAACGAAUAAAUAUAUUGAAUAUUCUAUCGGAAUUUUAUGUAAUGAAUGAGAUUUUUUAAUUUAAUUUUAUUAUAAUGUGUGACAUGGGAUUGAUUUGCAUAUUUUAUGGUUAAUUAUUUAUUUAUUUAUUUGAAAGGUAAAUUUAUUAAUUCAUUAAUGAAUGAAAUUAUACAAUUCAGAGAAAAAAAUAGUAAACAUUCGUCAUCUACUGAAAGAUAAUAUUUAAAUUAUUAUGGCACGUUAACAAUUGGUUUUGACAAUUGAUUUUGUUACAACUCAUGCACAAUAUAUCUGGAGUAAUUAUAAGCACUUAAUACAAUAAGAAAAUCAACUCCGGAUGGUCCAAAGCAGGGAGCAAAAAUCGAUAAAAGAAUCGAGCAUUCACUAAACUAAAAAGGACAACAACAUGAUCAUCUCUAAAAUCACUUGUAAAACUACUAUUACACAUAUAAACAAGAUAAAAAAAAAGUGUUAUAAGAGGAUUAUUUAUUUUUUUAAAAACUACUUAUUAGUGAUUAAUUUGGAAGAAAAAUGUAAUUAAAUUUGAAAAAGAAAAAAAAAAGAAGGAAAGGGAUAAUUAAGUUCGAGAAUUAAAGAAGGAAAGGGUGGAGUAGUAGAGGAGGAAAGAAUCAAAUCAACACCUCCCCUCUUACCCGCGCGUCUUUUUCAAUCGCCUUCUUCCUUCUUCAUCUUUUGUAUUAUAUGUUUUCAUUUUUUUAAUUAUUUUAUAUUUUUCCUUUUGUACUAUAUCUAAUUUUUUAUAUUAUAAAAAAAGAAUUAACUACUAAUUUUAAAGAGUGCUUUUAAGUCAUUAAUUAUAAAAUAAAGUUUGAUAUUGGUUGAGAGUUUUUGUUUAGUACAUUUCUAAUAAAAAAAAUUCACAAACAUUUGUUAAGUUAUAUUUAAAAAUCUAAUAAAUAAAUAAAUCAAAAUAAUAUUUAAUUUUAUUAAAUUGAUCUCUAAAUAUUUAAUUUAACUUAUUUUUAAAUAUUUUAAAUGGUAUGGAUCUUAUUUUCCAAGUAAUUUAUUUAUUAGUUAAAAAUGGAUGAUAAUUUAUUAAUAAAAGGAUGUAAAAUUAAUUGUACGCUGGACGGACAAAAGUGGGUAACUAAUCUUUCCCAAAAGCAAGAAGGGAUGGCCCAUUAAAAAUGAAUGGAUGAUUUUGUUUGUCCACAUCUGCCAGACUGUGGACCAUAAUUUAACUCCCUUUUAAUUGGUUGACCAAAAUUCUUAAAUCUUCAUUAUCAUUCACUCACGUCAAUUUCUUUAUCCAUUUAUGCAUUUUAUUCCAUUAAAUCUGGGUUUAGUUUAAUGAUUUGUUUGAGUUUCAAAUCGCGUAAACCACAUUUAGUUUUUUUUAAAAAAAAUUUAUUAGGGUAAAUUACACCAGUUACUAAAUUAUAAGUAAAUUGUUGUUUUGGUUAUUAAAUUAUUUGAAAAUUUUCAUUUAAGUCAUUGAAGUAUUGAAAAGUUAGCUUCUAACCAAUACCUAUUGAAGAGUAGGAGAACAUACCUUAGACCCAAAUCAAUAUGAUGAUGAGUGUGGAAGAUCGAAAAAAAAUUAUUUGACUUUUGGUUCACAAAUUUGUAAUGUCCAAAAUUGUUUUAUAAAAAGAAAACUAAAAUGUAGAAGAGAAAGGGAAAGAUAGUUUUUGAUUGGUGCAUGUAUUAAUGCUAACAACCCAAUGAUUUAAAUGAAAUUUUUUUAAUAGUUCAGUGAUCAAAACAAAGGCUUACCCAUAGUUUAGUGACUAAUGGUGUAGUUUACCCAUUUUACUAUGUUUAAGUCUCAUCAUGUAUGAACUUUAUUCCGAUAUAUUUUGAUUAUUAGUCAGAUCAUGUUUUGAAACGGUUGAUGCUUACUAUAGUUAUUCAAAUAUGUAAUAUUUAUAAUUGCAAUUGUAAUUAUAUAUACAUUUCUCCAAAGAUGGUUGCAUAUGAGUUUGGACUCCAAAAGCAUAUGUCCAAGUUAAUGAUUCUAUGUAUGUGAUCGUUGAACCUAAUCGUUCAUAACACUAAUUAUUUUUAGUUUGUAUGGUUUGACAUUAAUAAAUAAGUUGUGGUUGGAGGAAUAUGAAGUUUAAUAUUUAGAUAUAAGAAACUGUUGAAUAGGGCUGGUAUGCAUUUGGUUCACCCAAUUGGUUAUGGAUGGUGGAACCAUAACUCUUAUGGCUAAUCUCUUUGCUAAAUUAUGUAACCUAACCUCAUUAUCCAACCUUUUUAAUCCUUGGAGUUGUUCCUAUGAACAAUAAAAAUCUUUAAGUGAGUGGUUUUCUACAGUUUGGUAAGCCAAAUUUUGUUGUCUACCGUGGGGGCACACAUUUGUUUUUAGAUGUACUUGUGACUAACAUGUUUAUCGGUGCAUCACAAAUGGAAUUUCAAUUUGAAAAAUAAAAAUUUUGGUUAAUCUAAAUUUCAUUUGUGUUUGAUCAAAAUCAGGAUUAAUCAAAUUUGGUAGAUGCCUCUUGCAAAUUCAAACUCUAGGAAAGAUCAAAUGAAGGAUAAAUCGCAAUCAUCAUUGUUAGUGCAAAUCUAUUAUUGUGCUAAAUGUUACGUAAUAUAUUCUAACUAUACAAACAUAAACCCUAAGUAGCACGGUUUGGGGGUAAAAUUGAAAAGUUAAGUUAACUGGUGUUGAUACAAUACACAAUAAGGGAGGAAUACAAGGAGGAACAAGGUGGUGCUAUGGAGGCCGAUUUACUUAAAGAAGUCGAGAUGCGGAACGAAGACAAAAGGACAGAUUGACUAUUGAGUGCUUAGAGUGACUUUAUUGGUACCAAGAGUUGGUCCCUUCUUUAUUUUUGAUCAAGGUAUUUUUUAUAGGAGAGGCCCCUUGUUCAUUAGUGUGAUGUGGCAAUUUACUAUGAAGAAAGUUUAUCCUCAUUCAAUGCAUGAAGGACAUAUAUUGUGAGGUUCAUUCUUUUAUUCAUUCAAUCAGUACAAGGUUGUUAUGCUCAAGUGAGUACCUUAUAACCUUGAGGCUGUGUUUGCACCUAAAAAUAAAUUUCUGACUUUUUUUAAGAGAGGCGAAUAGUCUUACCAAAAGGUGCUAAGAGCGAUAUAUUAGGACUAUUAAAAUAAAUGUUCAAUGUAAAUUUUCUACCAUCUAAUAUAGCUUUGCCAAUUUAUUGAGUUUAAGCUUAGAAAUCUAUAUAUAAUUAUUUUAUAAAAAAAAAAUCUCAUAACACAUGUUAAUAAUGAUAAGUCAAUUUACCCAAAGGAGGUACUGAUUUCCAAAUUUUUUUUAUACAACUUAUUUCCAAGUUAUAAUAUUUAAAAAUUGAUAUUAAUAAUAAAAUAUUUUAAUUCAAAAAUUGAUCUUUAAAGUUAGUUGAUUUGUGGAAAUAUAUUUUCAAAUACAACCAUGUAAAUGUAUUGAUAUUUAAUUUGAGAAUCCUUAACUAUAAGUCACGUAGCAGUUAUAUAGAAGAUUAAUGUAUAAGCUGAUAUUUAAUAUUAUUAAUUUAAAAAAUUAAAAGAUGUGAUGAAAGGUGAAAACUUAUAUUUAACCAUAAAAUCAAUAUUAAUACAUUAGGAUCAAAAUAACUUUUGAUUUUUAUGGUUUUUUUAUCGUGAAAAUCUAAUAUAUAUAUAUAUAUAUAUAUAUAAACCCAAAGUCCAAAAUCAAAACAAUUUAUUAAUAUAUUCAAAAAAAAAAAAACCUUUGAUUCUAGUUGUUAAUUUUUUGGUUUAAAAAAAACAGAUUUUUUAAAAUAAAAAAAAAAAUUAUAGAUAAGGAAAAAAAACUAACCUUCAAAAAAAAAAAAGUUCAUUUCAACUAAAAAAUAUUUUCUAAUGUAUAGCCAAAAGUUUUGCCAUAAAUAUGCAACUGUUGGCAAUUGCAUAUUUUUAGGACUUUUUUGGCUUUAUUUUUUGUUUUGAAAAUGUUAUAUUGAGGUAUGUCAAGGUUAAAGGGUUAUUUGGCUCGUAAGUAUUUGGGAGGAUAGUCUGAGUAUUGUUAGUUGCCAUUAGAUAAGUGUUGAUUGGGUUUUAAAGAAGAAAUAGAUAAAUGAAAGAUAAAAAAAUUAACAGGCAAGUGUAAGGAUAAAAAAUCUAAACUCGUAUGAGAUAAACUCUGAUACUAUGUUGAAUAAAGGUAAAGGAGAAGAAAAGGCAAUGUUCUUCCAUUUUUUUUUUUUAUUGAUGACCAUGAUAUUUAUAUAAAAAAAUAUGUCAAAAUAUGAAUGGAACUUGAAUCAUCCUUAAAAAAACCAAAAAUGACAAAAAAAAAAUAAACUAAACAACUUAAAAUAUAUAUAAAAUAAAAAAUUGUUUUAGAAAAUGGCAUUAAUAUUUUAACUGAGUAUGGAUGGUAUGGAUUUUAUUUAAUUAUAAUUAAACCAAUUACAUAGUUUUGAUCAUAGCAAUUAAAUCUCUGUAAUUGAACUAGUGCUGACGAGUGUGCUAUGUUGUUGGGAUGUUUUUGUGUUAUGUAUUUGGUAUUUUCAAUUGUAAUGAAAUUAAAGUUUACUGUUUAUUAUUUAAAAAUAGUAAUACCUAAACUUAUUCUAAUAAAAAAGCUACCCAUGCAUAUAAGUGAAUAAACAAUUUCCCUCAACUGUAAAUACUUAAUUUAUUUUUUUAGUGUCUUAAUGUUACAUGUAUUUAUGCUUUGUUCAUUUUAUUUUCACAUAAUAUUAUUUUUAAUUCGUUAAUUUUAUUGUUUUUAAUUAGUUGGUAUGGAUGUGUUUAAGUUCAUAAAAAUAAUCUAUUGUUCUUAGCUUAUUGUAAAAAAAAUUUUGUAGUUUGCAAAAAAAUUACAAAGAAUGGUAGAGAAUCUUGAAGUAAUAUUUAAUGCAAAAAAGUAUAUUUAGUUAUCUUAAUAUUUUUUAUGUUUAUAUUAUAUUAGGAUUAUAUAUUACUAUAGAUUUAAUUUUUUUAUGUGUUAUAAAUUCUAUAAUAUUUAAUAAUAUAAAAUAUUACAAACUUAAAAAUGGGUUGGGCCAAUUCGAGCCUUGACUGUUCAAGCCUGACCUUAACUUAUAUUUUGAAUGGGCUUAAUUUUAUUGUUCAAACCCAUUUUUAAGCUUAAUAUUUUUAUCCAAAUCCUGCUAAAUUUUGAGUUGACCCUCAGACAUGAAUAAAUAACCUAACUUAUGAACAGGUCUAAUUAUAAAUAUUAACUAUACUUUUUUAGAGGAUAUAGCUAUUCUUAAAUUACAUGAAAAUGGCUAUCUUUAAUGUAGUAAUAAUUGAAUCAAACAAGGGAUUUUUAAUUUUUCAAAAUUAAAUAAUUGAGAUUAUGUAAAAAGUUAAUUGUGUUUAAUUUAUUUUAAUGAGAAAAAAGAAGGUAUACUUAUAUGGAAAUAAAUAUAAUUUGAAUUAUAAGGAAUAGUAUAGAAAAUAAUACAAUUGGAAAAGGGGGAGUUUGACAACUAAUUUGGAAAAAAAACACUUUUAUAUAGGUAAGUUGAAUUAUAAGAAGUAUAAAAUUGAAAGAUAUCAUUUAUAAGAAGUAUGCUUAAUUUAAGGAAAAGUAAUAAUGUUCAAAAAUAAAAAAAAAUACUUUUAAAAGUGAAUACAUUUAAGAGAGGUUAAUUAUUUGCCAAAUAUUGUUGUUAAAGUAAUUAUAGUUGGUGUUAAAUUAGUAUUGAAAAUUUUAAUUUGCUUGGUUAUUUCUAAAAUUUAAAUACAUAUUUCAACACACUUAUCUGAUAUUAAUAAUAAUACUCAUAUCAAUCAAACUAAAAUUUAAUCUGUGCGAGUAAAAAAUUAAUGUAAAGCGGUAAUUGAAUCCGUACCUUCCUUAUUUCCUUUAUUCACAAACAUUAUUUGAGAGAAUAUUACAUUUUACUUUUUCAUUACUAUAUAUACUCUCAUCUACCAUUUUUACAACAAAAUAACAUUAAUUAAAAUUUUUACAAUUUAUUUUACACGGUUCAAUAAUUCAUAUUUAAUUUAAAUAUUUACAUUUUCAAUUAUCAAAUCAAAAUCAAUAUUGUAAUACAUAUAUUUAAAAAACAGUUUUGAAAUAUUCCACCAACUUUUUAUUUAAAUAAUUUUAAUAUUAAUUACUCUAUUAAAUAAAUAUAAAACUUGCAAAUAGUAUUUCAUCUGAUAUUUAAUUGGUUAAUAUUUUAUUAAAUUCUAAAUAUGAAAUAAAAUAUUUUCAAAACUUCCAUUUUAACCUGUAAAUAUUUAACAUAUAUUCUAAUAAAAUUUAUUUAUUUAUAUCAAUAUUCAACUAAAUUUCAUUAAAUCAGACAUUUUGAAAUAAUAAAAUUUUUAUAUCAUUUAAAAAAAAUCAAUGCACAAAUAAUUGAGAUUUAUUUUACAAAUAUUAUUUCUAAAAUAAAAGGCACAAAUAUUAAAUUAUAAAAUAAAAUUAUUUUUUAUUUAAUACAUAUAAUUAAAUCUGUGCGGGUAUAAAAACAAACAACACAUUUGAUUAGGAUGAAUGAAAUAGCGUUGUAAUGGAAUAUAAUUGUAAUGAAAUAAAGCAAUAAUCAGUAAUUCAGUUGUUUGGUUCAAUUGGAUGGAAUAGAGCUGUAAUAGUAUAUUUUUGUGUUAUGGAAUAAAUGUUGUAAUAGCAUAAUGAAAAAGACUUAAAUGACCAAAGUACCCUUAGCAGAAUUUUUUUAGGUUGAUGAUUAUUUUUAUUAAAUUUUAAUAAUAUUAUUAUUAAAUAUUUUUUAAUAAAAAUAAAAUUUAAUAAUUUAAUAAUAUUUUAACAUAAUUAUUAUCAAAUUAAAUUAAAUAAUAUAUAAUUUAAUACCAUUCUUAAUAUAAUUAUUAUUAAAAUAUGAAUUAAUAAAACUCAUAAUAUAUGAUAUUAUAAAAAUAAUAUAUAACCUAAUUUAUUAUUUUAAACUGCAAUACAUAUUUAAUGUGCUAAAAUAUCAUGAACAAAACAAAUGAUUUAAUUAUCUUCUAAACUAAAAAAACAAAAUAAAUAGCUUGAGAAUUAUAUUUUACACCCAAACAUAAUGUUCAAACAUUAACAAAAAGUUACAUGAUGUCAUUAGCUUAUAUGCCAUAAUCUAUAUGUUAAAUUUUACAACAUCAAAAAGUUACAACAAUCUGUAGCAUUCUAUUAUGUCAUUAUACCAUCUAAAUAUUAAAUAUGCAAAAAGUUACCUAAACAUCACUGUCGAAACCAUUUUUUUUCUAAAAAAGUGGUCGACUUUAAUUUUGAAAACGAAAACGAACACGGGAGCCGCCACCAAUCUUUUUUGAUAAGGUGUGAUCGAGUCACCUCGAAAAGUGAUUAUUUUUAAUAAACCACUUGAUUUAUUAAAACAACGAUUUUGGUCCACGAAUUUUAGAAAAACAGGUUCGGGAGUUGGUUACGCACGAGGAAGGAUUAGCACCCUCGUAACGCCCAAAGUUGAUACCUAGUUGAUUAAUUAGUAUCUUAGUGUCAAAAAUUGAAAGCUUUGAAGAGAUUUAAAAUACGAUCCUUUGUUAAAAUAUCAAAAAUUUUCGGAAAAGAGGUAUAUUUCACGUUAAUCGAGAAAGAGAAUUAUGUCCUGUAAGUUAGGUCACAAUGUCUUAAACCCCGAUACGAGAAUGAAUGCCGAAAAAUUUAUUUAUUUGGAAGGUAUUCAAUUAUCUCAGUUUUAGAAAAGGAAUCAUAUUCCGUAAGUUAGAACACGAUCUUUUAUUUAUUCCCGAGAUUGUUAAAAAAACUUAUGUUUAAAAAAGGGGUUCGUAUAUUUAGAUUUAUUGAGAAAAUCAAAACCCCGUAAGUUAGGGAACGACUUUUCGAAUUCCAAAACACGAAAUAUUGCUUAUGUUUUCAAGAUUUUCCUUUUUUACAAAUUUGGGUUAAAAAACGAAAUGAAAUAUUUAAAAAGAUAUACGUUUAAUUGAUUAUGUUUGAAAAGAAAUUGUUUAAUACGUAAAAAAGGAGUCAUACGUGGCUAAUAAUGAUAGUGCAACAUACAUUCGAAGUAAUAAUGGCAUAAUAUUGCAUAAUAAAAAAAUUAACACAUGGCAUUGGCAUUAACGAAUCAUAAUGUUAAAAAACAUAAAUAAAGACAAGAAUAAUGAUGCAAAUGAUAAUAUAGGGAACAAUAAUAAUAAUAAUAUAAGUAACAUCGACAAUAAUGAUAAUAAUUGAAAUAUACAGUGAGAGUAGUAAAAGUAAAAUAAAAAUACAAUAAAAGAAAAUAAUAAAUAAAUAAAUGUGAAAAUGAAAUAAGGGAAAUAUUAAGUAAAUAAAAUAAAUAAAUAAGGCAUUUGAUUAAAAAGGACUAAAUAAAUAAAUAAUAAUAAAAAUAGCAAACAAAACAGUUUGUAAAAAAAAUAAAAAUAAAAAUUGAAGUUAAAUGGACCCAGAACCGAAUUGAAAUUAAAAUAAAAAUAAAAUUAAAGGGCAGAAUUUAAAAGGAAAGAAAAAAGAUUAGGGCUUAAAUGAAAUGCGCAAAGAUAAGAGGGCCGAAUGGGCAAUAAAUCCAAUCCCUGGACAUGCGUCCCUUCCCCAGGGGAUUAGCGAACCAAGGACUUAUUUGAAAACUAAACCAAUUCUGUGGUUUGAUUUAAAAUAAAAAAGAGUAUACAAAAUGACUAAAUUAAAACAAAUCGAAAAUGCGGAAGGGCCAGGGUCGUAAAUAUCGCAAAAGUUGAAAACACGCGGAUCCUCUAGAGCGGGUCGAGUCGGAGCGCGGGUCAAGGGCGAAACGACGUCAUUUUAGGCUAUUGAAAUCAGACCUAAAAUGACGCCGUUUUACAGGGCCUAUAAAAGUUGCAUUUUAAAAAAAAUCAUUUCAGCCCCAUAACAAAAAAAAAACGAAACCCUUUCUCUUUUUUCUCUGCAGCAGCCCCCAAGCCCGGUCAAGUUCUGGCUGCCGGACCACCGUGAUGGCCGUCGGUCACCAGCGACAGUGCCGCCGUGCACGGUGGCCGAAAAGUUCAAAGAACCCCUUUUUUUGUUCUAUUUUCGAGUAGAACCCCGAUUUGGGGUUGAAAUGCCUAAAAACCCACCAAAAUUCGAGAUAAAUCAAAGGGACCUUUCGGUUCCCGAAGGCAGAAAAUGAACAACAGGUAAGUUUUUUCUUUUACUCUAUGUUUUUUUUAUUAAAAUAGAUUUGUAAAAAAAGAAUAAAAAGAAUAAACAGAAAACGAAAUAAAAAGAAUAAACAGAAAAUGAAAAAAACAGAGAAAAGAAAAGAGAGCAAACACUUUUUAACUUCAAUUCUAUUUCUUUUUUUGGAUUUUUUAUUGUGUUUUCGUAAAAAAAUACAAGGGUGAGAUUCGGGCUUUUAUAGCCGAUUUAGACAACUCUUAGUGUCUAUUUUUUUGUUGUUUUUCUAUUUGGCUUUUUCUUUCUGUUGUGUGUUGCUCGUUUUGCAAGUGUCAGAGGCAUGGAGGAGGCAUGUGCAGCGACGACAGGCGUGUCAGAUCGUACGUAGAGAGGCUGCGGCACGUGCAGUGCUAGUCCUAGGGUUUCUGCCUCUUCUUUUUGCUGAAAAUAGACUGGAACAAUUGUUAUUUAUUUUUGUUUGGUUUUCGUCUGGGCCCAGGCAAAUUGAGCCUAUUACAGCUGCCCCUCUUUACUCGUUGUCGUGUAAAAGGGAAUGGAGCAAAGACUUUAAGAAGGACCAAUUUUGCCCGGUCUCACCGAAUCUUGACUUAUUGGUGCUCAUCUUCUUCAAGUAGCCUCAUUCUAACCUACUGCCACUUCAGGGAGAUGAGACUUUUCGUUUUAGUCUACUCCACUACAACUUCAGGAAGAUAAGACUUGUUAUGGUAGAUUUAAUCCGACCUACUGCAACCUUAGAGGUAUAGGAUUCAUUAUUUUAAUCCGCUUCACUACAACUUUAAGGAGAUAGAAUUAGUAGCUUUAAUCUGCUCCACUGUAACUUCAGGGAGAUAAGAUUGGUAUAUUCAACUUGCUCCAUUACAACUUCAGGGAGAUAAGGUUUGAUAUGAUCUGCUUUACUGCAACUUCAGAGAGAUAAGAUCUGCAAUUUAUAGCUUCAAUCUGUUCCAUUGCAACUUCAAGGAAAUAAGAUUCGCUAUCUUCAGUCUGCUCCACUGCAACUUCAGGGAGAUAAGAUUUGAUAUGAUCCGCUCUACUGUAACUUCAGAGAGAUAAGAUCUGCAAUUUAUAGCUUCAAUUUGUUUCACUGCAACUUCAGGGGAAUAAGAUUCUCUAUCUUUAGUCUGCUCCACUGCAACUUCAGAGAAAUAAGACUUGUAACUUCAACUCGCUCCACUACAAAUUCAGGGAGAUAAGGUUGGAUAUGAUCUGCUCUACUACAAAUUCAGAGAGAUAAGAUCUGCAAUUUAUAGCUUCAAUUUGUUUCACUGCAAUUUAGGGAAAUAAGAUUCACUAUCUUCAGUCUCUUCCACUGCAACUUCAGGGAAAUAAGACUUGUAACUUCAACCGGCUCCACUGCAACUUUAAGGAGAUAAGGCUUACAACUUCAACCUGCUCCACUGUAACUUUAAGGAGAUAAGGUUUGCUAUGAUCUGCUCUACUGCAACUUCAGAGAGAUAAGAUUUGUUAUUUAGCUUUAAUCCGUUCCACUGCAACUUUAGGGAAAUAAGAUUCGCUAUCUUCAGUCUGCUCUACUACAACUUUGGGGAGAUAAGAGUAGUAACUUCAACCUGUUCCACUGCAACUUCAGGGAGAUAAGGCUUGCAACUUCAACUUGUUCCACUGUAACUUUAGGGAGAUACGACUAGUGGCUUCAAUCUACUCCACUACAACUUCAAGGAGAUAAGAUUGGCCAUGAUGACUUCAAUCCAUCCCACUGCAACUUCAAGGGUAUAAGAUUUGUUGUUUUACUGAUCUGUUCUCUGGGGAACAUGACAUGUAGAAUCCAUUUCAUGGGCCUAUUUAUGCCAAGUGAUUAGGAUGUCAUGAUCAAAAUGAAGCAAAUGCUCCUAAUUAGAUGUGUAUGAAUGAUAUUUGCAUGAAGGCAAAAUGUCAUAAGAAUGAUCCCUUUUUAAUGUUUGGGUUGUCAUUGCUCGUUGUUCAUCAAGGUUUUAUCACUGAUGUGUUACCUUUCCUUCUUGUUCAGUUGGUAUCUUUGACAGAAAACCCAAAGAAAUAGCCAUAAUUUAGACUAUUCUUUCUCAAAUGUUUCCAACCCUUUGGUUAGUUCUAAAUAAUAGUCCUGUUUCAGGUCUUCAUAUUAUUUAGAAGCUUUCGGAGUAAUAUGCAGAACUCCUUUUGCUUGAAUAUUAUCAGUCCAUUAAUCGUUAUUUCAAUGUAAAAAGUUUGAAAAAGAUUAUCACAAUGGACAAGAUGAAAUUUUAUUGAGAGCAAAGCUCAAAAUGAAUAAAUUAAUCAAGAUAGUAAAUUUUGCUAAGAUACGAAAUGAAUGAAAAUAGGUGCCUCAGAUAUCAUAGCAUGAGAUUUUCUGCACAAAACUUCUCAAGGACCCUUUGAACUUGAUAUGUGUUUAGGAGUCCUAAAAGACUUUGUUGAUGCCCCAAGAUGUAGCAUCCCUCAUUCUUGUUAAUUCGGAGAGGACAAGACUACCACAUGCCCCACCUUUGAUCAAAAAUUUGAAUUGCCCAUUCCUGGGUUUUCAAUUUAAAACCCAUUUGAUCUUAAGGUGUCUUUCGUGGGUUUUCACCUUGGCCUCUCCUUUUUCCUUUCAUUUUCUUUUUUUCUUUUUAUUUUAUUUUUUAAAAGUGAAGUAUUUCUUGCUUGAAUCAGAAUUCAUAGGAUUAGGCAGGUUCUUACCAUCCAUCUUGGUCAAAAUUGACGUUUUUCCAAAUAAGGCCUUCCAUAUAAGGUCCGUCCCAGUUUGACAUCCACUUUCUUCUAAAGUCCUUUUGUAUGAGAAGGAUCUUCUUCGAUAUUAGGUCCCUCCAUGGAAUUCUCUAGGGCGAACCUUUUUUGGUGAGCUCGCAUAAUUUAUUUUUGGUAUAUUUGACCAUGGCGGAUAAUUUUGAACCUUUCUCUUCAAUCGAGAUUGGAUCCAAAAAACUUGGAGAGAAAGAAUCUCGACUUCAAUGGGUAAAACCACGAUAAGCCAAAGAGAAAGGUGUUGCCCCGGUAGAGGUCUUUUUUUUGCCUCCACUGCAUCGUUCACUUUGGGGCGAUAUGGUGUUAAUCUUAAAUAGACUACAAACUUCUGGUAUCAAGCUGUUGUUCAAAUUUAGCAUAUUGUCUGAUAUGAUUCUUUCUGGCAUUCCAUACCGACAUAUCAUUUAAUUUUUCAAGAAUUUGUUGACUGUUGACUUUGUGAAAUUGGCAUAUAUAGCAGCUUCUACCGACUUAGUGAAGUAAUCGACGACCACAAAUAUGAAUCGAUGACCGCCAGAAGCUUUUGGCGAGAUCGACCCAAUGACAUCCACGCCCCACAUAGAAAAGAGCCAUGGAUUCCAUUAAUUAUUUGUAAGGUAGGAUCUGUUUCUCAUCUUGUUCUACCAUCUUUAACAAAUCAGGAGACAAGCUAUAGUCUCGGUCAUCUUCAAAGUCCUGAGGUUUCUCUAGACACCUAUUUUUCUCAAAAGAAGGUUUUGAGUGAAUAGCAGUGUCGCUCAUAUCAAUGAUAUCUGGAGACCUGUUAUAGGGACGAAGGAAGAUUCAAAGAACCAAUAAAUCAAAGGAUAAUUAUCUGUGUGGUAUGAGUAUGAAUGAAAUGGAAGGAACAAAAGAAUGUUUGCCAAAACGAGACAUAAAGAUGCAUUUCGUUGAAAUAAAAAAAUAAUAGACAUAUGCCUUUUUCACAAAAGGAUUUCUAUUGCUCCCAGGCUUAAAGCAAUAAGAGUCUUCUGAAUAUUACUUUGAAAUGGUCCUAAAAACUACAAGAAUCUCCUCGACAAUCCAGUUGUUCAGAACGCUUCUAGGGAUGUAGGAACAAAUUCCUAAUAGGUUUUUUUAUUUUUAUUUUGUUCCUUCUUCAAAGGCACAACUAUAUUUCCCUUUUGAACCAUCGAUAUCUUCAAAGAACUCCAAUUCUUUAUCAUCCAUCAGGCUCUGUACUAGAGUUCUGAACUCGACACACUUUUGGAAUUUAGGAAAAUUAUUGUUUGCAAUGAAAUGUAAUGUUAAUGAAUGGAAAAGAUGCAUGCAAAAAGGCAUUAAUUCUAGUUUAAUUCCAUUAGAACAACUUUACUAGAAAACAAGUUUCUUUACAUAAAACGGAUACAUACAUAUACAGCCUUACCCUAAUACUCAAAGUGAAUACAUCGAUCCUUUUCCUCAUAUCUAUAUGUUAAGAUCGAAUCUCGCGAACUCUUUAAAGGGGUGCCUCAUCUAUCUCCUUUUUUUGCUUGAUCCAAGCUACGACCCAUUGUUCACUCAUCCUCGUGAUGCUCAUUAGCUUUGUUAACGACUCUCGAAUAAUAUUUGUCAGCUUGAAUCCUCGAGCAACGAAGCAAAGUCGUGUACUCAUUCAUCAAAAUAUCACCCUUCCCUCGUUACGUUUUCUCGAACCAUAUUCGGACGACCGCAUUGUCUUCCACUUUAUCAAGAAAUCCAUUUUUCAUGACAAGCUCUCUAUUUAGCAACUGAACGUGAAUCAACACCUCUUUUCUAUUAUGAAAAUGCAAUGCAAUCAUAAUCAAAACAAAAGAAAACACAUAAGUACAAAACAUAAAUAACAAAAAGAGCACCUAUUUGGAUGACCACUAGGGGUUUGGCGUGGUUCUACCUAGGGUAGGAUCUUAGGGCUCACUAUAUGCGGUUCGGUUCUAAAGUAAAGGUACCCGAACUGGUAGAUUCCUCGAUUCUAACCUAUAAUAGUCUCAUAUGGACCGAGUUCAGUUCAAGGGAAUACAUUUCCCUAUGGCUACACAGAGAUUAAAAUAUCACGAAGACAUAGGUAUGGAUGUAUCUCGAAUGCGAUUCACUAUCCCAUGCGGAGGUGAAAACCUCACGAAAGAGUAGUUUCUCACUCCCAAUUAAAGGGUAUAAUUGAACGGUCAUGUAAUGCAAUAUGUGAAAUAUAUCAAAAGGCUUAAACCAAUAAAGCAAACAUAUUAAAAUGAUGCAGACCAUAAAAUGAAAUGCAAUGAAAGGAUCGUAUAUUUAACCUAAAUUAUCAAUUUUCGAAAAGAAGACAAGAACUAAUCAACUCGUGGCUUGACUCUCUUAUGUUAGUCCCUAGUGGAGUCGCCAAGCUGUCGAAACCAUUUUUUGUAAAAAAGUGGUCGACUUUAAUUUUGAAAAUGAAAACGAACACUGGAGUCGCCACCAAUCUUUUUUGAUAAGGUGUGAUCGGGUCUCCUCGAAAAGUGAUUAUUUUUAAUAAGCCACUUGAUUUAUUAAAACAACGAUUUUGGUCCACGAAUUUUAGAAAAAUAGGUUCGGGAGUUGGUUACACACGAGGAAGGAUUAGCACCUUCGUAACGCCCAAAAUUGGUACCUAGUUGAUUAAUUAGUAUCUUAGUGUCAAAAAUUUAAAGCUUUGAAGAGAUUUAAAAUACGAUCCUUUGUUAAAAUAUCAAAAAUUUUCAGAAAGGGGCAUAUUUCACGUUAAUCGAGAAAGAGAAUUAUGUCCCGUAAGUUAAGUCACAAUGUCUUAAACCCCGAUACGAGAAUGAAUGUCGAAAAAUUUAUUUAUUUGGAAGGUAUUCAAUUAUCUCAGUUUUAGAAAAGGAAUCAUAUUCCGUAAGUUAGAACACGAUCUUUUAUUUAUUCCCGAGAUUGUUAAAAAACUUAUGUUUAAAAAAGGGGUUCGUAUAUUUAGAUUUAUCGAGAAAAUCAAAACCCCGUAAGUUAGGGAACGACUUUUCAAAUUCCAAAACACGAAAUAUUGCUUAUGUUUUCAAGAUUUUCCUUUUUUACAAAUUUGGGUUAAAAAAAGAAAUGAAAUAUUUAAAAAGAUAUACGUUUAAUUGAUUAUGUUUGAAAAGAAAUUAUUUAAUACGUAAAAAGGAGUCAUACGUGGCUAAUAAUGAUAGUGCAACAUACAUUCGAAGUAACAAUGACAUAAUAUUGCAUAAUAAAAAAAAUUAACACAUAGCAUUAACAUUAACGAAUCAUAAUGUUAACAAGCAUAAAUAAAGACAAGAAUGAUGAUGCAAAUGAUAAUAUAGGAAACAAUAAUAAUAAUAAUAUAAGUAACAUCCACAAUAAUGAUAAUAAUUGAAAUAUACAUUGAGAGUAGAAAAGUAAAAUAAAAAAAUACAAUAAAAGAAAAGAAUAAAAAAAUAAAUGUGAAAAUGAAAUAAGGGAAUAUUAAGUAAAUAAAAUAAAUAAGGCAUUUGAUUAAAAAGGACUAAACAAAUAAAAAAUAAUAAAAAUAACAAACAAAACAGUUUGUAAAAAAAUAAAAAAAUUGAAGUUAAAUGGACCCGGGACCGAAUUGAAAUUAAAAUAAAAUUAAAGGGCAAAAUUUAAAAGGAAAGAAAAAAGAUCAGGGCCUAAAUGAAACGCGCGCAAAGAUACGAGGGCCGAAUGGGCAAUAAAUCCAAUCCCUGGACACGCGUCCCUUCCACAGGGGAUCAGCGAACCAGGGACUUAUUUUUAAAACUAAACAAAUUCUGUGGUUUUAUUUAAAAUAAAAAAGAGUACAUAAAAGGACUAAAUCAAAACAAAUAAAAAAUGCGGAAGGGCCAGGGUCGUAAAUAUCCCAAAAGUUAAAAACACGCGGAUCCUUUGGAGAGGGUCGGGUUGGUGCGCGGGUCAAGGGCGAAAGAACGCCGUUUUAGGCUAUUGAAAUCAGACCUAAAACGACGCCGUUUUACAGGGCUUAUAAAAGUUAAAAUUAAAUAAAAAAUCGUUUCAGCCCAUUAACCAAAAAAAAGACGAAACUCUUUCUCUUUUUUCUCUGCAGCAGCCCUCAAGCCCGGUCAAGUUUCGGCUGCCGGACCACCGUGACGGCCGCCGGUCACCGGCGACUGUGCCACCGUGCACGGUGGCCGAAAAGUUAAGAAACACCUUUUUUGUUUUAUUUUUGAGUAGAACCCCGAUUUGAGGUUGAAAUGCCUAAAAAUCCACCAAAAUUCGAGAUAAAUCAAAGGGACCUUUAGGCUCCCGAAGGUAGAAAACGAACAACAGGUAAGUUUUUUUCUUUUACUCUAUGUUUCUUUCAUUAAAAUAUGUUUGUAAAAAAAGAAUAAAAAGAAUAAACAGAAAAUGAAAAAACCAAGAAAAGAAAAGAGAGCAAACACUUUUUAACUUCAAUUCUGUUUUUUUUUUUGGAUUUUUUAUUGUGUGUUCGUAAAAAAAUACAAGGGUGAGAUUCGGGCUUUUAUAGCCGAUUUAGACAACUAUUAGUGCCUAUUUUUUUUGUUGUUUUGCUAUUUGACUUUUUCUUUCUCUUGCGUGUUGCUCGUUUUGCAGGUGUCAGAGGCAUGGAAAGGCGUGUGCGGUGACGACAGGCGUGUCAAAUCGUACGCGGAGAGGCUGCGGUAUGUGCGGUGCUAGUCCUAGGGUUUCUGCCUCUUCUUUUUGCUGAAAAUGUUUAGGUUGUGGGCCACUGGGCCACCUAGGCUUUUAAUUCUUGUUGGGCCAUUUGGGUCAUUGUAAUUUUGGGUUUAAAUUUGCUGUAAAUGGACUGGAACAAUUGUUAUUUAUUUUUGUUUAGUUUUCGUCUAGGCCCGGGAAAAUUGGGCCUAUUACAACAUCACCAACACAACUAUGAUUUUUAAUGGUUAGAAAGAAAUUUUCUCAUCCAUUCUAAUCACACAAAAGAAGGUAGACUAAAGAAAAUGAGCUCAAUGCACGAUAGCGCUCAUCCUCAGUUAAUCUUUCUACUUCACAUAAGGCCGUAUAUAGUUUUAAUUCAAGGCCAAUAGUUUGUAUGCUUUCCCCCAAUAAUAUGGUAACAUCAGUAAUUAAGGUAGAAAUUUUUUCACUUCCAUUAAAUUUUGUUUUCUUCUUUGAAAAUGUGGAACCAUAUUGAUUUGGCUUUAUCAGUUGGGAUUGUGUAGCCUAGACAUCCAUCUCAUCAAAGGAGACAUCAUUUUCGCAUUCAUGGUAAUUGUUUCCUUCUUCAAGAUUAUUUGCAGUAGCUAUAUCCUCAACAUCUAUUUCUUUAACAAUAUCUGUAGCUGUUUGAGCAUAUUUCUCAAUGGCUCGAUCUUUUUCAUAUAUGGAAGUAAGUUGGUCAUAAUAAGAGAAACUGUGAUGUCUAAAUUGACCGGCUGCUUUAUGACUCUAUAAAAAAAUGAAUCUAUAUUAGAUAUAAGUUUGUCAAAAUAAGAUAAUAAAGAAAUGAAAUAAUUCUUACACUUAUAUAUGAGUUCCACACAGUAUCUUUAGUAACAACCAUCUGCCUAUGCUCAUCCCAACCAAAAUCGCUGUUGUCUUUUCCACUGAGCAUGUCGUAAAUGAUUGCCCAAUCCCUUUUCAAUGUCUUAAUCCUCGAUUCAAGAUUAGGUUUAGCCUUCAGCAUAGAAUGAGGUAAAAUUUUUUCUAACAUUCUUUUCAGCUCAUUUAAAUAACCGACCUUGAAUCUUGUAUCUAUAUUACAGGUUCCAACAUUGUACAAGUUGACUGUACAAGCAACCAAUGCAACAUCUUCUUCUGGAACCCAUUUUCUUUUGGUUCCUUGAGAAUUUUGGGAAGAAACACUUGAUUAUUAAAAGCCUGACAUAACUAUCUUAAGAAAAAACAAAAAUUAAAAUUAAGUUCAAUAUUAUGAAUUAGAAGAUUGACAGUUUAUAAAAUUAUAACACAUAACGAAUCAAAAGAAAAUAAAUUGAAGUUGUAAUUCAACAAGUCCAGUACAAUACAUAAUGAAAAUUCAAACAACACCAAAGUUUCGUAAACUAGAUACACGAAAUAACAUAAACAAAUUAACAUUCUACUAUGUUUUAAUAAACCUAACUAAUUUCUAGAUGUUUGCCAUUCAUAGAACAUUUGAUUGGUUGGUUCCAUCCUCCAAGUAGCCCAUGUACCUGAUGGAUGAAUAUUUACGAUAUUCGGUUCAUUGUCAUCUAUCACAUUACUAGGUAAUCCUUCUUCCAACUCUGCUUCAAUAGGAUCAAGACUCAUAUAGGUUCAAAUAAAAUUAUGGAGCAAACAACAUGCAAUAAUGAUUCUAUUGUGCACCCUCAUAGGAUAGAAUGAUGGACUCAUAAGUAUUGCCUAUCUAAGUUUUAAUAACUUAAAGCAUCUUUUAAUAACAUUGCACGCUGAAGCAUGUUUCAUAUUGAAAAAUUCUUCUGGAAUACUUGGCUGGUAACCCUGACGCCACUCAUUCAAAUGAUAUCUUUUUUCUCUAAAAAGCGCAAUAAAUCCCUCACAAUUUGUGUAACUAGCACCAACUAGAUAAUAACAACUUGUAAAAAAAAACUAUUUAUCAUGGUUAAUUUUUCCCAAAAGUAUGGUCUUAAAAAUUAAUUCAAAUUCCUCCAAUUAUGCACUUUACCUUUUAGUUCAUGUCUCCUACUAAUGACAUCUCGAAUAUCCCAUCCAUCAGCAACAAAACCUUCCCAACCAGGAAGAACAUAAACAAAAUGCAUAUCAAGUGUACAAAAACCUAACAUAUUUGUUGCUAUGUCACAUUUUCGCAUUCGAUAUCUAGGUUUAUCAAUUGUUGGAACCUUAAUCUUGAUGUGGGUUUCAUCUAAAGAACCUAAGCAAUUCUACACCACAUGUAUAGAAUCUCGGGUUAGGUUACUAUAUUUAAAUCUAAAUUAACUAAAUUAUGUAUGAGUUAUAUAUGGAACUCACUCCAAUACCUUGAACCAUUUUGACCUUGUGUCUGUAGAAUUAGCUGUAAUUGGCUCUACCUUUUUAAAUAACACAUCUUGUAAGUGUAUGAGAGCAUUUAAAACAUUGUGAAAUGAUCUGCUAAUAGUUUCCUCGGACCUAUUAAAGUGAUGCUUGAUAGCUUGGUUUUUAAGGUGAUUAGAAAUGGUAUGUAAAAACAUUGUCGCUUGCUCAUCAACAAACAUGUUCCUUGAUGACUUCAAUCAUCUUAAAAUUUGUAACAUCUCACAUAGUUUAAAAAAAGUAAUUCUAUUCAUCCUAACUUGUUCAAUACAAGUAUCGUCACUAGCAUAUACAAGUCUUUUCACAUAAUCUCGUUUUGCAUAAAAAUCUAAAAUAUACGAUCUAAUCCUUGGUCUAUAAGUAUGUAGGCUAUGGAUGAAACCCAAUGUAACUAAAAACCAACUUGAAACUAUACACAUUUACAACCAUACUGUCAAUGCAAGACCAGUUCUUUUACGCCUCUCAUUUGUACUAUUAAAGGCAGACGAGCCAUUACUGCAAGAUAUUAAAGUGUUAUAUAUCUUCAAAUCAUAGUAAAAGGAUCACAUUUCUUCAAUACUAAUCUCAAUAACAGUAAAACAAAAUUAAAGAAUUUAAUUGCCAAAGAACGUACAGUGAUUCAAUGAAUACAAGAGGCUCAACUAUGGGUGAAGGAAGCAAUCAAGCAAGCCAAAGAAGAAGAGGAAGCAAUAACACAUUGCCAAAGAAAAAUGAACAAUACAUAUUAAGAAUCUUUACAAAGCACAAAAUAGAAAUUACAACUAUCUUUGCAAAUAAAAAACUUGAAAUUCAUUUCUUUAUCAAAUUUCAUUCAACAAAACCGGCUCUUUAUUUAGAAAAUAAUGUCUUGAACAAAAAUUAUAGUUGUUUUAAAAGAAAAAAAUAAUAAUGAACAUCUAAACAAUCAUAGAUAAAGUUUUUGCUUUUAGAAUUUACAUUAAGCAAGAAGUAUAGGAUUUCAUUGACUUGGCAACUUGAAAUAUGCAAUCUAAAAGUGGACCAAAAAUAGUUUAAGGAAAAACGUAGAACCAACCGAAGAUCUAGUUUUUUUUACUAUAUAGUUAUUGUUGAUAUAGGGAAUAUGCUAUUUAAUUAAGAUGUCGCUCAUAUGCUUUAUGACUGAAAAUGCAUAUUGAUUGUGACACAACAAAAAAUUAUAUCCGUUCAUGUAAUUAUGAAACACAAAAAAAAAAUUCUCAAAAACUUUCUUGCAAACCACCUUUAAUUUGUCCAAAAUCUGAUAGUAUAACUUCAAAUCAAAGCAAGCAUUAAUCGGAAUUAACAUAUUUAAUGUGUCUUAAGUUUGGACAAUAAAAAUGCUGGAAAACUUCUCCUUACCAAGCUGUUUAAACAGCAUAUACAAGGAAAAAUCAUGAGAUUCAAUACGAUAAAUUACUCAAAAUUUUUGUUCAAAUUCGAACAACAUCCUUCAUGUCCCAAAAACCAUAAAAUUCAACAUGCAACAUCACCAACAUAGUAUAUAUAUAAUUUGGACAGCAACACAACAAAAAAUGAUUAAAGUAUUUGACUCAACCAAAUAACAAGGAAAUGUUUAGCAUUAGACAACAUUAAAACCUCAGAUGAUUUGAAUAUUUAAAUUCAACCGAAUAAUCCUAAAAAUGUCUAGCUUUGGACAUCAUUAAACUACCAAUAAUACAAACAAUUAAGUCCAACUAAAUGACAUGGAAAUGUCCAACAUUGGACAACAUUAAAACUUCAAAUGAUUAGAAUAAUUAAACUCAAUCGAAUGACAAGAGCAUGUCCAAAUUUAAGAACAUAAAUAAAUUAUGAAGUUAAGGCUUGGUUUGCUACUUUAUAGAAUUUCUAUACUGUUAAUUAAUAAAAUUUUGCACAAAACCGAAAGCUAAAUGUUUAAGGACCUUACCAGUUGUAACUCACUAUUAAUUAAAAAUUUCUAAUCACAAAAAUUCUCAAAAAAAAAACUUACAAGUAUAACCAUUAAUUCAAUAUGACAAUUUAAACAAAUUUCCUUUAAAGAGCUCACCUCACUUAAGCAACAUAUAACAAUUAAGUUUAUGACCAAAUUUUUAACCAUACGAAAGCCGCCGAACCAUGCAUGCCAAUUUAGUCACUUAGCAAGCUUAAAAGGAAUUUAAGGAGCUUACUACAACUUCCCAAAUCAGUUUCCUACAGUAGUUCAAAUAUGGCAUUAAAUUAGUAAAUUUCCUUUUCAUUUGAACAGUAAUCACAACAAUGGCAUGGAAUUAAACAAAAAAAAAGUUUUCUCUUCAAUUUAAGCAACAACAUGCAACAGCAACAUAAGGCAAUUAUAUCUCAAUUUUUCCUUUUCAAUCGGUAGUACAAAUGACAGCCAUUUCACUAUUCUUUAACUACCAAAACUUGAUUUAAAUUAAUCUUAAAGGCAAUGUAAUACCUGCAACACUAACCAUUAAAUAAGCAUGAAUGUUUAGGCAUACAUCCUCUAAAAACUUACAGUAUAACAACUGAGCCUACCCUUGAGUGAUAUCUUUCCCCUUCUUGCUGUCACCUUCAACCACUCCUUUAGCUAAAACACACAAACCAUUCCAUUAUUUCAAGAGGAAACACGUUUAACACAUAAUGGUUUCAAAUUAAAGCAUUGCAUGGCUAUUUUACACAUAUAAACAUCUUAAUACAUGGUUGGGAGAGGGACUUUUCCCUUCUCCAAACUCUCCAUUUCCACAAGACAUCUAGGAUUAAUGAAAGAUUCAAGAUGUUUACCGAAUCUAUUAAGAAACCAGCUCCUAAAUGAGCUCAAAAUUUAACAUGCAGCAGCUCCCUUCUUCCUUCUCAAUUCGAACAACAAAGAAAAUGAGUAGAAAUAAGAAAUUUUCCUAAGUUUUUUCCUCUUUCUCCCUUCUUCUUUUUUUUUCACCGUCCCCCUCCAAGCAACCCACGAACUUUCCUAGAACCCUUUUUGAAUCCCCAAUUCACAGAAAAGAGUUUUAACUCAAUUGAUAAAGUAAAAUAAUGGGAUUGAAGUCAAGCAAUUCAAAGGAAAAUUAGCAACAAUCUCUGUUGGCUUGCUAUAGAAGUUGAAUAUAUAUGGAUCCCACUAUACAAUUAACAUUAAAAAAAAUAAUGAUACCAGGGCCCGAAAUGGUGGAAAUAAUCAAAUAGUUAAAAAAGUUGUCACAAAAUAACCAAAUAGAACCCAGUAAAUUCCUAUUUUUUUACUAAAACUAAAGUACAAAAAAGAAGAAGAAAAGAUCUACAUAAACAAGUAGAUAUUUUCAAGCUUAAACAGUUACUCAAAAACUACAUUUUUUCCUCAAAACAAAUUCAAAUACAAUAAAAAUGGCUAAAUAAACAAUACCCAAAAGCAAAAGAAAAUGAAAACCAAAACACUAAAUCACAAAUUGAAAGAUACCCAGAUCUUCAUUUUGAAAAAAAAUGUUAAAGAUCAAAGAUCUGAUAGAAAAAAUAAAGAAGAAAAAUGGAAGAUAUAAAAAGGAAAAAAGUAGAAGAAGAAGAAGAAGAAGAAGAAGAAGAAGAAGAAGAAGAAGAAGAAGAAGAAGAAAAAGAAGAGAAAAUACCUGAAAUCGAACAGGAAUGAGGAAACAUGACUGGGGGUGUAAUGACUUGAAGUGCUUGGUGAGGGAGAGUGAUAAAUGAUAGUAAUGGCAGGUUAUGGUUUUUUUCUGUAUUCCUCAAUGCGUGUAGUUACAAUUCAAUGUUGGGAGCAAGAAAUGACAUUCAGUGUUUUUGAGGAAGAAAGAACUAAACCGACCCGACUGUAAUAACAGAUUACAAUGAUCCAAAAAUUGCAUUGUAGUGGGCCCACUGAAUCUGGCCUGAAUGAAUGGCUCAUUCCAUUCAACCAAACAGACUGUAAUUUUAUUACAUUUCUUAUUUGAAACCCUCAAUCAAUAAAACAAUAGGGUAGUCCAUUAUGAAAGCGAAGUAGAUAAUAUGUUGAUUCUGAAUCUGCCAACGAAAAAAGAGAGCUAAUUAUAUGGUUGAUGCAAGCUAUUGAUCUUUAUGAUCAUAUUAAAACAAGGAUAAGAAUUCAAAUGAUUAUUUACUCAAUUUUUUAUUUGAUUGAUUUUAAAAAUUAACAGUGUUUUUUAUUGCGCUCAAUAUUUUAAAUUAAUUUAAUGCAUUAAAAUGUGAAUAAUAUAUAUUUGGUAAGAAAAAUCAGAGUAGCAAAUUACAUAACAAUAAUUACAUCAAUAUCAUUUGCAAAUUAUUUAGAACGAAAGUAUCAAUUUGUUUGAAAGAAGAAGCAAACUCAUGGAGACCCAAUUGAUAGUCAAACAUCAUACCCGCUAAGGUAUUAGCCACUCCAUUAGAUUCCUUGUAAAUAUGCUCGAUGCGAACCACCCAUUCUCAAGCGCAAAGUUCUUUUAUCUUGCAAAUUAGCGCCCUAUUCACUACGCCUUUAUAGUUACCAUUGAUUGCUUGAACUGCAAUUAAGUAAUCACAUUCUGAGACAACCAGUUUCCGCCCUUUAGACCAAAGUAGUUUAAGUCCAUCAUAGAUUGCCCAAAGUUCUGCUUGUUUAACACUACACUUCCUAAUAUUACGGUUGUAACCAAAUAUCCAUCUGCCAUGGCUGUCUUUAGCAAUCCCAACUGAGUAGACAAGUCCAGUAUGAGGUUUCCUUGCACCAUUUGUGUUCAUUUUGACGCAACCAGCCAUUGGUGGCUGCCAGGUGCUUGGUCUAAUUCAGUUUUUAACCUUGACCAUUGGUUCCCCUAUUAGCUUUAACAUUCACAAACCAACUCCAAAAUAAUCCCACAAGCAUAACAGAACUAUAAGGAACAUUUCAAAAAUAAAAGAAUUUCUUUUUUUUUUCUAUACAAAUCAGCAUAGUAUACCGAACAGGAUGUUCCAAUUACCAUAUUUGAAUUGUAAAUUCAGUCAAUUAGAAAGAUUGACAUUCACCCAAGAUAAAAGUGAUAGAGAUAAGAACCUAAAGUAAUGAGAACACUCUAGAAUAACGUAUUUUUAUGUAUUAAUUAUGUAUUUAUAUGAUCGUGCUAAUUAGAGCUAUUUAUGAUCUUUUAUCUCAUAGGGACUAAAUUUGAGGCAAAAGCAAAAUUAAGGGCCGAAAGCGUGAAUUUAGAGAUAAAAUGGGCUAAUGUGAGACACAAGGAAAAGUUGGUGCCAAAAGUGCAAGCAUGGAGGACACAAGAAUUGAAAUGCAAAAAGAAGAGAUUUUAUUCUAUUAAACUCUAUUUUAAUUAUAUUAGGAUAAUUAAUAUUGAGAUAAUUAUUAAGGAUUAUUUUUAGGAUUUUAUUUUAUCUUUAUUUAUCUUCAAUUAAAUGUAUGUAUCUUUUAGGAAUUUAAGUAGGAUUAGACUAUCUCCCCUAGCACUAUAAAUAGGGGGUGAAGUGACUCAAAAAAGGAUCCCAUCUUUUUCCUGUAAACACUCUCUCCCCAAAAGUUUAGGCUUUUGUUCUUCUCAUAUUUCUUUUCAAUAAAAUAUUUAUUUUUAUUUUAUUUAUUUUCUUUUCUACCACAACCAUGAGCCACUAAACCCAUCUAGCCGAAGGUUGUCAAAAAUCCCCAAAAGGGUUCAUGAGGUUUAGAAUCCGUACUUAGCCUCCUCGCUGAGUAUUCAUCGUUUCUCCACACUACGGGGCUGACGCUUUCGUCUAUGUCCCUAAAGAAGUAAGCUUUUCAACGUAUGCAAAGGCGGCAGCUUUAUAUGUUUUGGGAAGGUUGCACAGUCGGUUCGUUAGCUUACUGCGUCAGAGGUUGGCGAGCCCAAGAGACAAAAUGGCGUGGGAUUCGCCAUUGAGAAGCGUUGAUCUAGCAUAAGACGAUCCCACAGAAGUGAUAGUUGGCUAGAGUGAGGUUCCACCACAUCGUAAGUCUAAAUUAUUGGAGCUGGUGGUCGUAGGCGUCCUCUUCCACUAUAACUGGCUUAUUCGGUUUGGGAAGGAUCAUCUAAAAGUCGAGGAUUGAACCCAAGGUGGAAUAAGACAACUAGAGGCUGGAAUCUCCCAUAAAAAUUUCCUUUCUCUCAACUCUAUUUUUAAUUUCUCAAAUUUUCGAUUCAAUAUUCUUAAUUCUGUUUUUAUUUUAUUCUUCGUUUCCAGAUCCAAACCUUUAAUUCUGUUAUUUUUUAUUUCUUUUCAGGAACGUAGGUUGUCUUGGUCAAGACUCUGCCUGGGAUUCCACGGAACAAUAUAUUGUGCAAAUCCAGUCCCUGAGGAUUUGACCCUACUUCCCUUUUACUAUUCUUUUUCAUUAUGUAUUAGGGAUAGGAUAUUUUUGGUGCUUUCAACGAUCGCAUCAAGUAAAUUAAAUUCAGAAUGAAUUACUUCCAUACUUCCUGAGCUUUGGGACAAUCGCGAAGUAUAUGAAGAAUAUUUUCUUCUGCAGAUACACAAAAGCAACAACUAGUGUCAUAUGUCUGCCUACGUUUGCAUCUUUCCACGUUUCAGAGGAUCCACUCUUUGUAAAAUAGCCAUAAAAACUAUCGAUCAUGUUGCAGACCACCAUAGGAUCAAACAAGUUCCCAUUUGUUGUAUGAGAUAUCCCAAGAAUCACGAGAUAAGAAAGUAUAGGUUACUUUAACAGUUAAGUCUGUUGGGAAAUGUGUCCAUAUUAUAGUAAACAUGUAAUUGUUUUCCAUGUAUUUAAACAAUGAAUAUAUAAAUUUCACAAUUCACCGUUAUAUAUUUUGUAUUUUGCAUACAUGGAAAAAUUGUUACAAUCAAAUAUUAGCUCAUUGAUUGUCUAAGCUCAAACUAAUGAUAAGUGGCAUUAUAAUAACGUUUACAUUACGAGAAAGGCAACUUACUUCAGUAGAUAAUAUAAACGAGUCUGUAAUCUCGUAAAUGAAUCAAAGUGAGCAUUUGAUUCAAAUACUAAGAAGGAUUAUUAUCUUGUGUAAUACCACUUACCCAUCUCCGUUAUUGGAUUAGGGUUACAAGAUGCUACCAAACAAAACCAAACAUAAAUGAGCUAUCAUAAUUCAAUUUUCAUUAAAGAUAAUUUAUUAAUCAAACAAAUAAUCAAAACCAAGAUAAUCAUACAUUAUCAGGGUUAAUUUGAGUUUACAAAAGUCCUAAACAAUUAAAAUCAAAGUAAGGACUACUUUGAAACAUUUAAGAAAAACAUGGCAAGAUUGUAAAACAAGGUCACACAGCAGUGUGAUAGCCUGAAGCCGUAUGGUACAAAACCACACAUCCGUGUCCUCAAACUGUGUAACAACCUAAUGUCGUGUAAUAAAGGGGCACACAGCUGUGUGGCAGACUUUGUCAGAAGCCGUAUGUGCCUAAAAUACCUUCAACAAUAAACCAAAUUUGACCAAAGAUCUCUAAAACCACAAGCCAAUGCAUUAGACCCUUGAACAACAUGAUACAAGACAAAAAAAAUACCAAAUUCAACUUAAUUCACUCAACCUAAGUGCCUAACCAAUAUGCCUCAAUUGACACCACAAUUCAAUCAUGAAGCAACUAUCAUUUAUUACCAUUCAUGCCAAGAUUUUUCAUGCCUAAACAUACUCAUACAAUCAUCAUUUCUUUAACUAAGAUAUCAAUAAGAAAAUUUCAAUAAAUGACCUAAAACAUAAGAAUCUAUUUUCACAAUUUAAGCAUAUCUUAUUUAAUCAUUUCUUUAACCAGGUCAUACCAUCCAAGCCAUUCACUCCAAACAUCAACAAUUACAAGCAUUCAAUAUCAAGUCAUGUUAUUACCUAAACAUACAUAUAAUGCCAUUCAAAUAUUGGCUAACAUCUUCAACUUACUAAGUGUCAAUAAAGUACCAAGCACUUGAUACAUCAAUGUUACUUAUAAUCUUAUUCAUAAUCAAAGUACCAAAACAAGAUCAUUAGCUUGCAAAGUGAACAUCCUAUAUACAUGUCCAAAUAUCAUAUAUCUCUCUUUCAACCAACUAAUAUAACUUUCCAUAAUUUAGCAUCAAGACAUUUCAAAUUUACUUAAAUAAACUCAAUCUCAACAACCAAGUCUUUUAUUCAUACCAUGUGUAAUAGCCUAUUUUUCAGUGUUGUUGAAAAUAGUGAUUUCAGGACCACAAAUCCAAUAAGUAAGUUCGUAUUUAAUAUUUAACUUAUACAAGUUAAUAAUAAUUUUAUAUUAAAUUUUGAUUUGAUGAAUUUUAAUUAAUUGAAUUAAUGAUUAGUAUAAGUGGUUUAGUCCAAAAUUCAAGUGGUUGUUGAAAAUGAGGUAUUGGGGCCUCAUUUUCAUAAUUUAAGGCCUUAAAUGUUUUUAUUAAAUAUUUAUAGAGUCGUAUUAUAGGUGAAUUGAAGUUUGGUUCGGUAAUUUUCACGAUUAUUGCUUAAUUAAGGUAAAAGAAUUAAAUUGUAAAAGAUGUAAAAAUUAAUUGCUAUAGAUUUAAAAUACUAAAGGAACCAAAAUAGUGAUUAAACCAUGGUUAAAAAUUCCAAGUGGUGGUGACAUGAUUAAAUCCACUAACUUUUGGGCUAUUUGCUAAUUUAGUCUUAAUUAGUUUAUGGUUAAAUUUAAAUUAAGCUUGUUUAGUUUGAAUUUAAUAUAAUUUGAAGGACCAAUUAUGCAAUUAAACCCUUUUUGAGUGGUAAAUUUACCAUUGAGGUAUUAGUGGACGCUAUAAGUGAUGGAAUUCAUGAAAUUUCAAUUGUUUUUAAAGGACAAUUUUGUUAAUAGGUAAAAAGGUAAGUUAAAAUUAAAGAAUAACAAAAUUAAAAAGGCAUCAUCAUCUUUAUUUCUUUCAUCUAAAAAUCAAAACUCCAUUUCCAAAGGGGAAGGAAGCUUCGGUCACUUAGGGUUCCUUGAUUGGGUAGGUAAACCUUGCCCGUUUUUAAUAAUCUUUAUGUUUUUGAGCUCGUAUUAGCUUAAUCUAGCUAACUCAGGGGCUAAUUUGUAAAAUUUUUAAAUGUUUUGGAUUAUUCCAUUGAUGAGUUUAGUAUAUUCUUUAAAGUUUUAUGAAAGAUUGAGUUUGGUUGCUAGAUAAGACUAUUUUGUAAAUUAGUUUUUUGAUAAUUUUAACGAUAAAGGACUAAAAUCUUAAAGUGAUAAAAUUGCGAGGGCUUGAUAUGAAAUAGCAGUAAAUAUGGGCAGGAAUAGGGUCCCAAAAAAUUUGGCUAAGCUUGAAUUCAAUUGAAAAUGGUUAAUUUGCAUGAUUUGAACUUAGGGACUAAAUUACAUAAAAGUAAAAUAUUAGGGGCAAUUUUGUAAAAUGUCUAAAAGGACUUAAUCGUAGAGAAUGAGUUAUUUUUACUAUUGGAAUUAUUUAACUAAAUGAAAUUAUUAUUUUAUGAUCAAGAAUAUGUUGAUAAUCGUGGAAAAGAAAAGGUUUCGGAGUAGUCCUUGUACUUGGGCUGUUAUUGCAAAUCAGUCCAGUAAGUUUGUACUAUUAUUUCUAUAUUAUAAUGAUUUUAUUACACAUUCCAUGUUAUUGUAAUUGUAUCCAAUGUUAUACUUAGCUAUUGAAUGAGUAGAGAAUACAUGAUAAAUAAAUACAAUGAUUAUUUAUCAGGCCUUGAGUUGGUGAUACAGAACUUAACGAUGGCUUGAGAUCCUGCAUAUGUUGCGGAUUCUCUAUAGCUUGUGUGAGUAGCAUUGUGAGGCGGUGAUUAUUUAGAAGGUACUAUGUACCGGUGAUACAGACCGUAGCGAUGGCUUGAGAUUUUGCAUGGGUUGUCUAUUCUCUGCAGCUUGUGUGAGUAGCAUCGUGUGCCGGUCAAAGUUUUAAAGUUAACUUGAAUGCGUGGUACCCUUUCAAUUACCAAAAUGACAUGUUAUUAGAACGAUGACAUGGUUAUGAUAAUUUAUCAUGUGGCAUUUUAAUGAUAAGAAUUAUCCAAGUAUAACUGUUCUCAGAAAGUUGAAACGAUAAUAAUAUGGAAUAUGAUUUGAAUUAUUGUACUGACAUUACUUACCGUUGUGAGCUGUGAUUGACAUAAAUUCUGUUAAGAACCUUGUUGAUAGGAACUCAGUUUAAUAAUAUUUUUAUUUGAAUUAUUAUGUUUAAUUUGGUAAGCUUUAUUGUUUAAACGACGAACUUACUAAGCUUUAUGAAAGCUUAUUCGUCUUAUUUGUCUUAUUUUUUGUAGAUACGUUUUGUAGAAAUUGAGAGAUCAAAUCAGCUCGAAGAAUCACACUAUCCCGAGGAACUCUUUGGUAUAUUUGUAAAUAACUUGGCUUCUAUGGCAUGUAAUAGGCAAAUGAAUAUGUUUGUAAUGUUUUAUAGCUUUGUAUAGUGGUUUGGUAUGCUUGAUGUUGUGGAAUGGUAACCUUAUAUGUAUACCCGUUAAACUCUAAGUUAAGCAUGAGUGUUUGAGCAUGAAUGGUAUAUGUCAUGUUAGGGUAUGGUUUUAUGAGGUUGAGAUAGGUUAAAUGGUGUAUAUGUUAUGUCUUGUAAACGGUAGUUAGUGUAGUGAAAGUUUAAAUACUUAUAAUGUGACUUGUAUUUGUUGAUUUGGUUACGUCUUGGGUGGAUAUAUUUGGCUUGCUUGGGUUGCUCUUGACGUGUUUUGAGGUAUUAUGAUGAUGUGUUAUAAAUUGGGUUAGGUAACUAUGCAAUUGGAUGGAAAAUGAACAUGAUUUUGGUCACUUUAAGCACACACGGCCUGGGACACGAGCUGUCACAUGACCGUGUGUCACACACAGGCAAUCCAUAUGGGUGUGUUCCCUAAACGUUUUUGGUGCAAGUUUCACAUAAAGUUGGCACAUGGCUUGCGACAUGGUUGUGUAACUCAACAUUGAAUUGAACACGACCUAUGACACGGGCGUGUGAGGGUAUUUCGAAUGCUACAUGAGUUAGCACACGGCUUGCGACACGACCGUGUGAAUUUAUUUCGAAAGGUACACGGUCUGGGCUUUGACACACGGCCAUGUGACAUCUGUUUUGAAAUUUUUAUUUUGGCCCCAAAUCUCCUGUUUUGUUUUGAAUUAACCCUUGAAUGUGCCUAAAUUAUUUUUAAGGCAUCGUAGACUCGAUUCAAGGCCCAUGAAUGUAUGUUUACUCAAAUAUGAAAUAUUUAUGAAAUUUUUUUGAUUAAUUUAGUAAACUUGAUGCGAUCUGAUAUGGAUUAUUCUAAAUUGUAUGGUAAUACUCUGUAACCCUAAUUUGGCGCUCGAAAUGGGUUAUGGGUGUUACAUUUAGUGAUAUUAGAGCUACGAUUUAGUCGAUUCUCGGACUAAACUUAGCUUGUAUGAAGUCUAAAAAUUACAUGCCAUAUAAACCGGUGAUAGUGUGAUAUUGAUUGAUUCGAUCUAACCCCUAUUUUUCUUGCAAAUUAAUGAAUGUUAAUAGAAUCUGGUCAUACUGACCUUGAUGAAGUAAAAGGUAAUAAUCCAACUUUUAAACAUGAAGUAAAUUAUAGUUUAUCAGUUUUGCAAAUACCUGAUAGUAAAGUCCUGGCUACCGAACUGGAAGUAAGUCAUAAUCUACUGGUUUUGUAAUUGUCUAAUUGCGAAGUAAAAAUGUCUUUUUGGAUUUAUUGAGUCAGUAGUUCACAGAGCUGGUACGAGCCAAUUCAGUGACCCUACAACCUGUACCCCCUUAUACAUUUCUUAUGGCAUCAUUGGGUCCUCAGUAGACUGAAAUAGUCUGAUAGUUUUCAAUUAAUUAAUGAAAAGGUAUGAUACUGAAGAAUUCCGUGGUAAAAUAGGUGAUGAUUCGACUAGGGCUGAUUACUGGUUUGGAAAUAUCCAGAGAAUUUUGAUAAUUUGGCUUGUUUCCUUGAUGAUUAUCUUAGAUGUGUCAUGUCUUUGAUAAAAGGUAAUAUUUAUAACUGGUGGCCGGCAUUAAUAGUGGUUGUAUUGAGAAGCAGGACUAACUGGGAUUUCUUCAGAUUAAUCAUUGUAAGCUAUGAUUGACAAAAAUUCUAUUAAGAACCUUGUUAAUAGGAACUCGGUUUAGUAAUAUUUUUAUUUGAAUUAUUAUGUUUAAUUUGGUAAGCUUUAUUGUUUAAACGACGAACUUACUAAGCUUUACAAAAACUUAACUUACUAAGCUUUAUUGUUUAAUCACACUAUCUCGUGGAACUCUUUGGUAGAUUUGUAAACAACUUGGCUUAUAUGGCAUGUAAUAGGAAAAUGAAUAUGUUUGUCAUGUUUCUUAACUUUGUAUGGUGGUUUAGUAUGUUUGAUGUUGUGGAAUGGUAACCUUAUAUGUAUGCUUGUUAAACACUAAGUUAAGCAUGAGGGUUUGAGCAUGAAUGGUAUAUGUCAUGUUAGGGUAUGGUUUGAUGAGGUUGAGAUAGGUUAAAUGGUGUAUAUGUUAUGUCUUGUAAACGGUAGUUAGUGCAGUGAAAGAUUAAAUGCUUAUAAUGUGACUUGUAUAUGUUGAUUUGGUUACGUCUUGGGUGGAUAUAUUUGGCUUGCUUGGGUUACACUUGAUGUGUUUUGAGGUAUUGUGAUGAUUUCUUAUGUAUUGGGUUAGCUACCUAUGCAAUUGGAUGGAAAAUGAACAUGAUUUUGGUCACUUUGAGCACACACGACCUGUGUCAUUGGCUGUCAUACGGCUAUGUGUCACACAUAGGCAACCCAUAUGGGUGUGUUCCUUGAACGUGAUUGGUGCAGGUUUCACACAAGCUAUCACAUGACCGUGUGCCACACACAAGACACCCACACAAGCGUGUUCCCUGAAUGACCGUGUGAACACCAAAUAUUUUAUCAAAUAAAGAUUCGUCUAAAUGGUUUCUAAUAUACCCCCAAUUUUAUUCACCAUCAUUUGUAACUAAAUAUUUGAGGAUUUAUUAUCUCGAGCAAUAUUAUUUGGAUCAUGCAGUAUCAAAGGACCCAUCACAGGGAUCUAAUCAUCAACUUAAAAUCUAACUGAAUUCCCAUAUCAUAUGGACUAAACUUUGGCAAUAAACUUCCAUAUAAAAGAGCUUCUGUUGCAUGUAAUUACCAUUGGAAAUACCUCAUGAAUUUUGUAUUUAGUUCUCAUGACUUAAACCCAUAAAGAAUCCUUGUUAGUAAUGAAAUUAAACCCAACUUUAAGAGGAAAGACUCAUUUUGAUGCCUUAAACGUCGAAGACUCAGCCUUGCAUUAGGACGGGGUUGGCAGUAGUCAUCCCGUUGCACUAAUGCUGGUUUAGAUCUUGAGGAAGAAAUCCCCCAAAUAAAACCCCUUGCAAUCUUCUCAAUCUAUUUACAUAUACUAUUGGGUAUCAAAGUUGUUUGCAUAAAGUAAUUGCGGAUUGACAUAAGAACAGAUUGUACCAAAGUAACACGACUCGUCACCUAAAGAAGUUUAGCAUCCCAACUAUGAAGGCUUCUGCAGACCUUAUCAAGGAUGAACUUAAAAGUACUAGUAGUGACACAACUGUGAAAGAGUGGCAUGCCAAGAUAAACACCAAGGUUAAGAACUUCAUUAAAUCCGAAAACCAUGCAAAUUUAGGAGGCAAUAUCAGCAGGAUUAUUAUUUGAUAAAAAACAUUGGUUUUUUGGGCAUUAACUUUGUGACCUAGAAAAGUCCAAAAGCUUCCAAUGUAUCUUUAACAACUUUUGAUUGUUCUAUAUCAGCUUCAAUAAAUAGGAACAAAUCAUCUGCGAAAAAUAUAUGCGAAACUCCAGGGCUUCUUUUCGAUAAAAAGAUUGGUUUCUAAACCUUCUUCCAACAAAUUUUUGAAUAUAUUAUCCUAAUCUUUCCAUACAUAGAACAAAUAAAUAUAGAGAUAAAGGACAUCCCUGCCUGAUACUUCUCGAGGGUUGGAACUUAUUUGAUAAAGCACCAUUCCAUAAAAUUUGCAUAGAACCUGAAGAAAUGCAUUUCAUAAUAAUUUAAAAUAUCUGAGAAUGAAUACCUGCAUCCGAGAGGGUAUCUUCUAUAAACUCCUAUUGUAUUUUAUCGUAAGUUUUCUCUAAAUCAACUUUGAUAGCUAUCCAACACUUCUUCUCUUUUCUUGAUUCAUAUAGAAUGAAUAAUUUCUUGAGUUAUAAGGAUGUUGUCUAACAAUGCUCAUCGUGUGUUGACUAGCCCUAUUACCAAUGAGGAGAUAAAGGCAACUAUUUUUGGGCAGGGGAAUGAGAAAACCCCUGUCCUAAUGGUCUAACAACUUUCUUCUUCAAAUCUGAAUUGGGUAUAGUGGGGUUUGAUUUUCUUGAAGCUGUUCAAUAUUUUUUUGCAUCCUCCACUCUCUUGUAUGCCUUUAAUACUACUUCAAUUUCCUUGAUUCCCAAGUGUGAUAAUCCUAGCUAUAUAAAGGAUUUGAAGCCUAUUUCUUGUUAGUGCAAUUUAUAAGUGCAUAACCAAGGUUUUGGUUAAUAGAAUGACCCAUUUUCUGCCUGCUUUGAUUUCUAAUAGUUAGAGUGCCUUUGUUUAAGGGCCUAGUAUCACUGAUAAUACCAUGUUGGCUCAUGAGUUAAUGCGAGGGUAUCGUAGAAGACAUAUUUCUCUUAGAUGUGCCUUGAAGGUUGAUCUUCAAAAGGCGUUUGAUUUUUUACACUGGGGCUUUUUACUUUUAGUAUUUAGAGCUCAAGGAUUCCCUGAAAAGUUCUUGAAGUGGAUUAAAGUUUGUUUAACUACUCCUCGAUUCUCUGUCUCCCUUAAUGAAAGCCUUAUGGUGUUCUUUCGAGGGAGGAAAUGUAUUAACCAAUGAGAUCCUCUCUCCUUACCUCUUUGUGCUUGUAAUGGAUGUGUUAUCUUGGUUAUUGGAUGUUGUCACCAUAAAUGCUCUUUUCAAGUAUUAUCCUAAGUGUCUUUGAGUGCGGUUGACUCAUCUAAUGUUUGCAGAUGACCUUUUUAUUUUUUUAGGGCACUACUGAUUCGAUAGCUAGUGUUUAUUAUAUUGUUCAACAGUUUUACUUACUUUUUGGUAUGUAACUCAAGGCCUCCAAAAGUGAAUUGUUUGUUGUUGGGGUGUCUCAAGAGGAAUUGACUCUCAUGACUACUUGCACAGGGUUUAAAGUUGGUAGGCUACCAGUGAGGUACUUUGGUGUUCCUUUUAUUUCUCGAAAGCUAUCUCGGUCUAAUUGUGCUACUUUAACCAAUAGGAUUCUUGACAGGAUUCAAGGGUGGUCUACUAAGCACUUGGGUUAUACUAGUAGACUGCAACUCAUUAAGGCAGUGAUCUUUAGUGUGCAAGCCUAUUGGAGUCGUCAAUUUCUAAUGCCUAAGAGUGUUCUUAAGAAGGUUUAUCAAUUUUAUCUUAGCUUCUUUUGGAAAAGGAAGGUUGGCUCGGGUCGAGGGGCUUGUGUUUGUUGGAAGGCGAUUUGUUUACCUAAACCUGAGUGGGACUAAAAAAUGUGGUAGAAUGGAAUCAAGCGUAUUUUGUAGCUUAUCCGUUCCUUGCUUGCAGGAGAGGAGUUUUUGUUUGGAUUGUUUGGGUUAGUGAAUAUGUGUUAAAUGGUAGGAGUUUUUUGGAUGUGGCUCUUACUUCAAUGAGUACCUGGAAUUGGUGAAGGAUGCUUAAGUUGAAGCCUUUGGUUGCUGUCACUUCUCAAUAGUUUGCUAAUGCUAAAGUGAGUGCUUCUCGAUUGUGGGAGGCAAUUAGAACUUGUGGUAUGAAGGUGGAAUGGUAUCGUUUGUUAUGGUUCCCUUUAUAUAUUCCUAAGAAUUCUCUUAUAGCUUGGGUGGUCAUUCUUAAUAGGCUUCUAACCCGAGAUCGUUUGCUUGCUUUUGGGGUUUUGGUUGAUACUUGUUGCUUUUUCUGUAUGGAUGCUGCAAAGAGACGUGAUCACAUUUUCUUUGAGUGUAGUUUUUCAAGGAAGGUGUGGCAGCCAGUUUUGUGCCUUUUCUCCAUUUAUAGGACUGUGGGAACUUGGAGGCAAGAGUUAACUUGGGCGAUAUUGAGACUUAAAGGAAAGUCCUUGCUUGUUGUUAUAUUUAAGCUUGUUUGGAGUGCAUAUUUGUAUGGGAUAUGGAGACAGAGGAACAAGAAGUAUUUUGGUGCAUCUUUCUUAACUGAAGAUGCUAUAUUGAUACAGAUUAAAGAGAUUGUGUGGGCUCGCUUAGGAGGAAGACCAAUCAAUGGAACUAAUCUUGUUAAUGCUUCACUUUGUGCUUCUUGGGGUAUUAUUGGUUAAUUUGUUUGUAUAGCUUAAAGUUACAGUACAACUUUUUUUGUUCUUUUGUUAUAGUUUAACUGCAUUAUUGGAUUAAUGAAUUUCAUCAUUCAUCUAAAAAAAAGAGAUAGGUUUUAAUCGAUUGAAGAUUAAUUUCAUCACAAACUUAUAGAGAACAUUACAAAGGCUGAUCGAAUAAAACUGAUUAAUAGUUUCUAGACUUUGACUUCUUGCGAUAAAAACCAAAAGCUUCUUACUAAUGUUGCGAUCCAUGGGUCGACCUAAAAAGAUGUCUCACCCAUUCACAAAUCGAAUGCUUAACCACAUGUCAUUGAUUUUGAAAACAAAACAUAUAAGCCAUCCAAUCUCAGAGCUUUUAAUGGUCCCAUAUUAAAAAGAGCUUUUUGGAUUUCCCAGUUAGAAACUUCCAUAACAAGAGAAUCAAGAAUAGAAGAAUCCAAAUUGGAAAAUUUACCUGUCAAAGGAAAAGUACCCCAUAUUCAUGUAUCAGAAGAAUAUAGGUUUUUGAAGAAUGUAAAAGCCACAUCUUGUAAACGGUACUCAUCAUAGCACUAAGACCCAUCAUCGAUUUUAAGAGCUGAAACACAAUUCAUCUUAUGUCUCAGCAAAGUUUUACUAUAAAAAUAUUCUGUAUUCCUAUCUCCUUAGGAUAACCAAUCCACUCAAGAUUUUUCCUCCACAAAAGCUCCUUAUCAUCUAAAAUGCGCUCAAGUUUAGCCUGGAGGUCUAAUUCAAGAUCAAAAAUAGAAUUCAACCAUAUUUUAUUAAGAGCAUUUUGGAUGCCUUUAAGUCUUCGGGAGAUGAUGCACUUUCUUGUAUGAAUACUACCAUAAACCUUCUUAUUCCAUCUCUUCAAGUCCGAAGCAAGUGAAUUAAUGGAGUUCGUAAUAAGAAGAGUGGGAUCCCAUUUUCUAUUGAUAAAAUAAUUAAAAGUAGGAUGUUUAGUCCAUGCUGCUAAGAAACAGAAUGGUCGAGGUACCUUCUUUUUAACAAUAUUGCCUAGACAGAUGGAAAGAGGUCUAUGAUCAGACUUUAGUUUGAGGAGAUAGUAAACUAAAGCUUCUGGAAAAUUUUAUUCCCACUCAAUUUUCCAACUACUCUAUCAAAAUUUUCAAAUAUUUUAACCUCUACCACGUAAAAUAAGCCUUUUAAACUUAAGAUCCCUUAAUUUUUUAUUAGCUAGAAAAUCUAUAAAGAGUGAACAUCCAAAGGUAACUGGUCGUCCUUCUCUCUUCUCAUCAGGUGAGAUGUAUGAAUUACAAUCUCCCGCUAAAAUACAAGGUAAAUGAAUUUGAGUAGCUAUAUGAGUUAAACCUUGUCGUAGAAACUUUCGUUUACUUCUAUCAGGACUACUACAAAUAAAAGUAGCUGUAAAACUUUUACGGACACCCUCCCCAUCAAUUCAACAAUGAAUAAAUUAGGGAUGAUUGAGAAAAAUUUCCAACUUCACGAAAUUCUUCCAACAAGUCCUCCAAAAAACCCAUAGAUUCAAUUCUGUGAGAGUUAUGGAAUCAUAAUUAUGAAAUAAUUCCAUCAGUUUUUAACCUCUUAACUUUGGUUUCUAGAAACACAACAACCUUAAUCUCAUAAUCUUGAAAAUAAUCUCUAACCACAUGAACAAACCUAGGGCUAGCAUAACCCUGACAAUUCCAGACAAUUAAAUUUGGAAAAAUCAUAAAAGACAUAAGAGAGUACUAAGAAAUGCUUAUAAAUUAUUAGAGGUAGCUUUAAUACCAUCUAUUUCCAUUGACUCCAUAAGAUCCUCAACAGCCAAAGUUGACUUUAAACUAUCAACAAUACGAUUCAUAGCCUCAGAAAUAGGAACUUUAAAGAGCCCACGAACCUUGAAAUUUCUACCCUUGUUCUUUAGAAUAUUGGGUGGCUUCUUCAGUAUUUGAUUAACACUACCCAUUUGCCGAUGUCUUUGUAAAUCAGAUUCCAUGCCAGUACCCAAGUUCCUUUCAACCAAAUCCACAUCUUCUGGAAUGUUCAGAUCACUAUUUUUGUAUAAAGAAACAGCAAAAUGAUGCUUGGGGUCAAGAGAAAUUUUCUUAUCCCUUUCUCUUAAAUUUUUAGACUUCGAGAUAAACUUUGUUGGCAUUUUGGAAAUGACCAUAUUAAUCUCAGGCUCAUUGUUUAAUCAAUUACACUCUAAAGUGAUGAUUGGUCUUUAGGGGAAUUAUCUUCUUAGCCCGAAUUUAAGACAGUGGUAAAAUCCUCGCAGGAUUAGCCCAACGGUGUAUAUGCCAUACUAUGUCCUUUUUAUUCAUUUUUGGUCAAGGACUUUGGCCAACAGAAUUGUUAACCGACUGGCAUGCCUUAACCCAAUUUGAUGUAGAUAGUGUAGAAGUCACUAUAUUACUCAAUGAAACCCGACUUUGGUUUUUAACUUGGACAACUUCCAUUUUUUUCCUUUGCUUUAAAAGAUUCAAUAUGUUUAGGAAGAGAUUCCUUUUCAACAAGAGGAUUUUUAUAAAUAAAAAUCUCAUUUCUUUGACCACUACUAGAAUUCGUGGGACUUGGAAUAUGAUUUUCCAAGAUUUCAGCUUCAUUGUCUCAUAAGUCAUACAAUACCUUGAACCUAGACGCAUGUUGGUUCGUCGGUUGCCGCCCUCCCUUCGUUGUUUCAAAAAUGCAGCCAUCUCCUCGUUUUUGGCGCUCAACAAUCAUCCACGAUCUAUAUUUCUCCUAAGUUGAUUGAUAAUCCAUAUUAGGAUGAGAAAGAAUUGGUACAGAGACAUUCUCAGAAUUCUCUUGUCGAUCAAUUGCAACCUUCAUGACAAGACAUGCGUCUUUAUUAUGCCCAUACAAACCACAAGAAAAAAAAUUAGGAAGAGACUUGUAUUCAACCCAUUAAACUCUAUCCUCAAUUUUGAUCCUGGAAAUAAUAGGCUUAUUGAGAUUUAAAAACACUGCCAUCCUAGCAAACUUACCCUGAAAAUUGUUAUCUGUAUUAUCAUCUAGUCGAAUGACUAGACCAAUCCUCUCACCAAUGGCUUUAACCAAUUUCUUCUUAUAAAUAUAUCCUAGGAGACACGAAAGGCAUAUCCAAGCAACAACAUUAUGUGGAUACGGUUGUAUUAUUGAAAAAUUUUAUGUCCAUGGUUGUAUUGUCAGCUGUACAAGCCUAAUAAUGCCCGGGCCCAAACCCAAUAAACUAAACCAAAACCCAAUAGCUAAUUCCUAACCCAGGCCCGAAACUAAUGGAAAAGGGAAGGGUUGGGAAGCCCUAGCAACAGCCCUCGCCUCCAGCAGACUCUCCAGGCGCCGCACGUCUCGGGGCCGACCUCUCCACACGCGCCGUUUGCUCCACGAACGCCUGCAAAUGCGGACUCAAUGAGUCCGAAAGAAAAAAACAACAAGAAAUAACAUUAUUUCAUUAUUUUCUUUUUCUUUUUCUUUUUCGGGCUAUAAAAAGCCAUUUCUAAUCUGUAAAAUGGGGGUCGAAAAAUAUAUGCAAAGAUAUAGAGAGAAAAUACAGGAAUUAAACUUGUUUUUGCAUAGGCGAUUUCUUCUUUGUUUUGCUUUGCAGUGUCCAUCGUUUUUUACAUAUAUAUUGUUUUAUUCUCUUUUAUUUUCGUUUUAUUUCAUUUAAAACAAUAAAGAAAAGAAGGGAUCUUACCUCUUUCGUCAAAGUCCCCGGAUGGUUGCCAUCUCCGUCGCAAUCGGAGCGUUGGCACGAACGGCGGCGCAAAAUGGGUUAAAAGAGCCCUAACAGAGCAACUAUUUUUUUUAAAUGUUUGCUGUGGCUGUUGUUUUGAAGGAAAACUAAAGACUUUCUAAUUAGGGUUUUGGGUUGGUUUUUAUAGAGGGAAAAGUGACACCGUUUAAUGGCCUAGUGAUCCUUGCAUUUUGUCUUAAUGGCCUAAUUGUGCAUUGGGUCCUUCAUUCUUUUAUUGCUUUAAAAUCAAGUUUUUUUUUGUUUUUUAAUUCCCCUAGGAUUUAUUUCAUUUUCAAUCGGGUCUAUAAUUGAACGGCGUCGUUUUGGAGGGUAGGGAUUAAUUUCCCUUUUGAUCCCUCCUUAUUAUUCACGUGUUCGAUCAAGUUUGUCCGUUUUUUUACUUAUUUUCGAAUCUACCCCAUUUUUUUGUUUUUAAGUUCAAUUUAGUCCAUCUUUAGCCAUUUUUUUAUUAUUUCUUUUUUUUAUGUUUAUCAUUAUAGCAUUAUUUAUUAUUAUAUUAUUUACUAUCACUGUUAUCAUCAUUACUUCUAUCUUCAUACAUGCAUUAUCUUUUUUAUAAAUAAUACAUAUACGCAUGUUUUUUACUCGCAUAGUUUUUUUUUAUAAUAUAUAUAUAAUGCAUUUUAUGUAGAAUAUGUAUAGCUGCAUACAUUUUAUACACUUUUUUAUUUUCAUUUUAUUUCUUAACUUCUAUAUACAUAUAUAUGCAUUUCAUAAUUUCUUAAUAUAUUUUUUUUUCAUUUUUUAAAUACACAUAUUUUUUACAAAACAUAAAUAUCUUUUAUAUUUUAAUUCCAAAAAUAUUUGUUUACUUUACUUUCGUGGAUAUGUACAUAUACCUACUUUCAUAUAUACGUUUCAUCAUUUAUUUUCAUAUUUUUUUUACAUACAUAUAUAUAUACACAUAUGCAUACUUUUAUAUUUUUUUAUUUUUCACGAUUUUCAAACACAUAUACAUGCAUUUUUAUUGGUUUUUUAAUUGAUAUAUUCUAUUCCAUCUUUCCAUAUGUAUUCUUGUAUAUGUACGUUAAAUAUAUGCGUACACAUAUUUUCAAAUUUACUUGUAUAUUGUACUUGUAUAUAUAUUUGUAAAUACAUAUUCAUAUAUGUUUUAAAUUAAAGUUUUUGUUUCAUAUUAACAUACCUUUUGGGAAAUAUAUUUUGGUUUGUCGAAACAUCAAAAUUAUUUUUUUCUCUUGAUUCAAUCUUUUUUUGAAUAAAAGCAAUAUUCAAAGUUUGGGAUUUUCGAGGAAAUCGAGCCCUAACGUAUUGGGUUCCGAUUUUCUUUGUUAAUCUUAAAUAACCGAGAAUAUUCUUUAUUCAAAAUACAUGAGUAUAAAAAUCACUUUCGGGAACUUAACUUGUUGUGUCCUAACGUAUUGGGUGUGACAUGUUAUUUUCUCUAAAUGAAGAUUUUCAUAUAAAAUAAAGUGAUAUUCAAAGUUCGGGGAUUAUGAAGAAUUGUACCCUAACGUAUUGGGACUCGAUUUCUUUACAUGACUUGAACAAUUAAUUAUCCUUUUUCAAAUUCCAUCGUUUGAGUUGAUUUUUAAAUUUUUUUUAACCUUCGACACUAAGACAUCAAAUAAUCAAUUUGGUGCCGAUUUUGGGCGUUACGAGUGUGCUAACCCUUCCUCGUGCGUAACUGACUCUCGAACUCGUUUUCUCAAAAUUCGUAGACCUAAAUAAUUUUUAAGGUGAGCCGAUCACACCUUAAUAAAGGAUUGGUGGCGACUCUAGUUUUAUUUUUUAAGUCGACAACUAGAUUUUUGUUUUUCAAAAAAACGAUUUCGACAGCUUGGCGACUCCACUGAAGACUUUGAGAGUCGAGCCAUAAACUGAUAGUAUUUGUCUUUGUGUCGAAAAUCAAAAGUUUUUAGAAAAUUUCAUGAGUUCCUUUCGCAUUCAUUGAUUUCUUUUUUUUCAUCUUGGUAUGUUGGUAGCUUUGCAUUUACAUUUUGCAUUGUACCCUUUAAGUGGGAGCGAGAAACUAGUCCUUCAUGAGGUUUUCACCUCCGUGCAGGGUAGUGGACCGUUUCCAGGAUGCAUCCGUACCUAUAUCUUCGUGAGAUUUUCAUCUCCGUGCAGCCAUAGGGAAAUGUAUCCCCUUGAACUGAACUUGAUCCAUAUGAGCCUAUAAUGGGUGAGGAUCGAGGAAUCUGCUGGUUCGGGUACCCUUACUCUAGAAACUAAACAUCAUAUAGUGAGCUUUAGGAACUUGACCUAGGUAGAACUAUCCCAAAACCCUAGUGGAUUCCAGAUUAACUGUUUCUUGCUAUUUCAUGCUUGUAUUGGAUUAUAUCUCUAUAUGUGAUACUGACUUGGGUUUCUUUUGUUUUGAUUGCAUGACAUCAUGAUUGCAUAGCAUUUCAUCCUAAAAGGGCGUUAGUUCAUAUUCGGUUGCUAAAUAGAAAGCUUAUCAUGGAGAAAGGGUUUCUUGAUAAGAUGGAAGAUAAUGCGGCUGUCCAAACUUGGUCUGAGACAACACAGCAAGAGAAAGGUGAUAGUUUGGCCGAGGGAUAUGUGUCAGAGUUGUGGGACUUCACUCGUGUUAGUGCGACUCAGAAUAGCCUACAUAAACUAAAGGAAAUUUGGGAAAGGUGGAAUGAUGAGGUUAAACAGCUCUUCUACUCUAGCUAUGGAGACCUACCUUACUUGCUCGACUUAAAGGUGGAUAAGCACUUAUUUCGUGCCUUAGCCCAAUUUUGGAAUCCUGCUUAUAGUUGCUUUACCUUUGGAAAAGUUGACUUAGUGCCUACGAUGGAGGAAUAUACGGCCUUGCUUCGUUUUUCAAAGAUCCAAGUAGAUAAAGCCUACUCGAGAGCUGCUAAUGUUCCAACCUUUUUGAAGAAAUUGAUGAAUAUUACGGGGAUGAGUGAGCAAUGGGCCGCAGCACGAAUCAAACAAAAGGGAGAUAGUAAAUGCAUUCCUUGGAAGAGCCUGAAGGAUUUAAUUCUAGCACACCCGGAUACGAGGAAGAAGGUUGAUGUCUUUGCCUUGGGUAUUUACGGUUUAGUUACCUUUCCCAAAGCCUUGGGACAUGUUGAUGAAGCAGUCACUGAUCUUUUCGAUCGACUUGGUAAAGGAGUUACACCGGUUCCAGCAAUUUUAGCAGACUCUUUCAGGUCACUGAACGAAUGCUGAAGAGUAGGUGAAGGAAGAUUCGUUGGAUGUGCGCAGCUUCUCUUGGCAUGGUUUCACAGUCACUUCUGGAAGGCUGAUAAAUUUUCCUAUCGAGUUUUUUUCUGAAACUUAUUCGCCUUUGAAAGAAAUAGUGGCGAUACCGAGGCAAGAUGGUGUUUUAGAAGAAAGAUGGAUUGCAAUUCUUCAGAAUCUUCAAGAGGAGAAUAUCGAGUGGAGAGCUCCUUGGAUGCUGCCAGAUGAGAUCUUGUAUAGGUGUGGAGAUUUCGAUAAGGUCCCUCUACUUGGGAUUUGGGGAGCUAUCGGCUAUGCACCGUUACUGGUAUUGAGACAGUAUAGAUCGAGGCAGUUCGUACCUACAACCCAAGGAUUAGCUCAAAGUGAAUUCUCGUAUAAGUAUGAUGGUUACAAGAAGAAGAUUCGAGAAAUGACAAAUGCUUAGAGGCAGACUCGACGAAUGAAGAGAUUGGCAGUAGUUCAUCGACGACUCUUGAAUAUAUCAAGUGGCUAGGUAGGAGGGUCAAUGAUAAUAUACCUGCACCAGGUCAAGGAGACAAUCAAUUAGUAGAAAAGCAUGUACAUGUAGUCCCUUCUGAGCUAGCAAUUAUAAAGCAAGAUUUUCAAAGAAGAAACUCAGAGCUCGAAAGGAAGAUAGAGCAAAUAGAAGAGGACAAGAUGAAUUUAAAGUUGGACAUAGAUGUUCAGAAGCUGGAAACCGAAGGUCUGAGAAAAGAAAAGUGCAAAGUCGAUGAAGAUUUGAAUAACUUGAAGACGGAUUAUAAGAGACUACGUAUGUCGAUGAGAACUGUUGGGUUGGGAAAAACCUCAGAGUAGUGGCGUCAAGAAGUUCAAGAAGCAAAAGGUCAAGGCUGAUAGGUGGGAAAAGAGAUUUCAGGAGGCUCAAAAGCAAAAUAAGUCCUUUGAGAGGAGUUUGUCAGAAAGUCGGAAUGAAAAGGAUGAAUUAAAAGCUAAGGUGGCCGAACUGGAUGAAACUAUUCAUCAAUAUCGAAAUCGCAAUGUUGUGAUGGAGUUGCAAGCAAGUUUGAGCAGGAUCGAGAAGAUGAAGAGAACAGUAGAAGGAUUAGAGAUGGCAUUACAGAACUGUGAAGUCAGGAUUGAACAUCUGGAAGCAAAUGAAGACCAUCAAAGUGAACAGCUUCACUAUCUCCAGGAUCAAAUUGCAAGAAGGGAUCACAUUAUGGGAGAAGCUGUGGUACAGAUUCAAGGGGUAGCUGAGCACCUGCAGACUUUAGCAAUACAAGCUGAUAUACUAAGUGUGAAGUACGAAUCAGAAUCAGAUCAGGGGCAGAAGUUGGCAUCAUUACUUAGGGAGAUUAAAGUUCUAAGUGUUAGGGCAAAGCCCUAUUUAUAGCCAUUUUAUGUAAAGAUCUCUAGUAAAGUUUUUUGAAUGGAAUUGAAUUAUAAUUAAUGCCUUUUUUGCAUUCAUCUCAUGCAUCGCAUCAUAUGUAUUAGCACCGCAUUAUAUGCAUUAAAGAUCUUUAUUUAAUCCUAAUAAGUCAAAAUCACUGCUCAGUUAACCUGGAAACCAACCAACCCAACACCGAUACGGCACUCGAGCAAAGACAAAAGAUAUGGAUCAGAGAUUGGAAAAACUCGAACAGUGUCAGAAGGAGAUGCAAGACCAACUUCAGCUACAGGUGCAGGAGCGGUUAGAUAAGAUGAAACAAGAGAUGUCUGAGAAGAUGCGAGAAUCCCAAGAAGAUAUAGUGGCAAAGUUAACCCAACUGAUAACUAAGGGAAGUGAUAAAGGAAAGGGCCCCAUGGCUAAUGUCGAUGAGGGAAAUGAUGAUGAACCUCUCUAUCCUCUAGGUUUCACCCCUCCACGUAUGCGAGCUCAAGUUGAAUACCCGCGCAAAUCUACUGUCACUAUCAUGCCUCAGCAGUUUCGGGCUGGUAUUUCAAACUUCCAAGCUGGACUGGGUUCUAAUCCUGAAAAUAAUCCUGUUAACUCUGCCAUUCCUGACUUUGAUGAAAUGGUUGAGAAGGAAAGAAUGAAGGAGGAGUUACUAAAACAGUUAGAGGAAAGGUGUAGGUGGCUCGAGGAGAAGUUCAAGGCGAUGAAGGUCACUGAGAGUUAUCGAAGCAUUGACGUAAAAGAGCUGAGUUUAGUGUCAGAUUUAGUACUCCCUCAUAAGUUUAAGAUGCCUGAAUUUGAAAAGUACAAUGGGACUAGCUGCCCAGAAGCUCACAUCACCAUGUUCUGCAGGCGAAUGGCGGGAUAUGUUAACAACGACCAACUCUUGAUACAUUGUUUCCAAGACAGCCUUGCUGGGGCAGCAUCCAAAUGGUACAAUCAGUUAAGUCGUGCCACGAUUGGUUCAUGGAGGGACUUGGCACAAUCGUUCAUGAAACAAUAUAAUCAUGUAACAGACAUGGCUCCUGAUAGAAUCACCCUUCUAAAUAUGGAGAAGAAGCCGAGUGAAAGCUUCAGGCAGUACGCACAGAGAUGGAGGGAGGUCGCGGUCCAAGUUCAGCCACCGCUCUUGGAAAAAGAAAUGACCAUGUUGUUCAUUAACACCCUGAAGGCACCGUUCAUUACACACAUGUUAGGAAGUGCUACAAAAAGCUUUCCUGACAUAGUCAUGAAUGGCGAGAUGAUUGAGAACGCCAUCAGGAGUGGGAAGAUUGAUGAAGGAGAGAGUAAUAGAAGAUCAACUUCGAAGAGGAAGGAAAACGAGGUGAACAACUCGAGCAUGUACAACAAGGGUUACUCGAAGUCAGUAACAGUGAGUUAGCCAGGAAAGGUGGCUGCCAAUCAGCAAAGCUCGUCGAGACAAGAGGUCGGUAUAAGGUGAAAUACUGAGAGGCCCCAAUUCACGCCAAUUCCUAUGUCGUACAGGGAACUAUACCGAAAUUUAUUUGACGCACACGUAGUUUCCCCUUUCUAUCUGAAGCCCUUGCAACCCCCGUAUCCCAAAUGGUACGAUGCGAAUGCACAGUGCGACUAUCAUGCGGGAACAACAAGGCAUUUCAUAGAAAACUGUACGACCUUUAAGAAGUUGGUUAAAAGGCUCAUUGGUAUGGGUGUCGUUAAAUUUAACUACUCGACCAAGGUAGGAAACCCGUUACCAAACCACACUGAUGGUGGGGUAAAUAUGAUGGGCGAAGACAGAAGAAUCAAGGCAGAAAUUACGGAUGUGAAAACUCUUUUGAGAUGGGUUUGAAAGGAAAUGGUGAAAAGGGGACUAAUCGUUUCAGAAGGAAGUUGUGAAAAGAGGGGGAACUACUGUGAGUUCCACCAUAAAGUGGGGCAUGAAAUCCAAGAGUGUACAGAGUUCAGAGCCAUGAUACAAGGUAUGAUGGAUAAUAGGGAGAUGGAAUUCUGUGAAUGAGUUCAAGAGGAGAGUCAUGUAUGCACGUCAGAGUUGGCAUUGGGAGUUCUGAAGGCUAACCAUCCUGUGGUCAUCAUCUCGCGACCUCAGAACAGUGAGGUUGGGGCAGAAAUAACACCAACAGUAAUCAUUCAAAAACUGGCUGUGUUUGCAUAUAAGGAUAACAGGGAGGUUCCUUGGAAUUACGAUUGUAAUGUGCAAUCCCGGGGAAGGAGGAUAUAAUCAGUAAAGAGGAUCAGAAUGAAGGAAGGCACUACGAACAGAUGAAGGCUCGAGUAGAGCCAAUAAGAAAAGAAGCUUCGGUUGGAAAGAAGAAGAAUACGGUCGAACCUAAAUUAUUGGUCAAUGAACCAAUCAAAGAGGAGGAAGCUAGAGAGUUCUUGAAGUUCCUAAAGCAUAGCGAGUACAGCGUUGUGGAACAACUGUACAAACAACCAGCUCGCAUAUCUAUGCUAGCUUUACUCCUGAACUCAGAGGGACAUCGAAAUGCACUACUGAAUGUGCUAAAUGAAACUUAUGUGGCUGACGAUAUCUCUGUUAACAAGUUGGGUCGACUGGUCGGUAAUAUAAGCGCUGAUAACUUCAUAUCCUUUAGCGAUGAUGAAAUACCACCUGGGGGUAUGGGAUCUACUAGAGCUUUACACAUCACUGCAAUGUGUAAAUGGUGCAUAUUACCAGGAGUUCUGGUAGACAACGGAUCGGCACUGAAUGUAUUGCCUCUAUCCACGCUCAACAGGCUACCUGUGGAUAGUUCACAUAUGAAGUCGUGCCAAAAUGUGGUGAGAGCAAUUGAUGGCACCGAGAGGAAAGUCAUGGGAAGAAUUGACAUACCCUUGUUAAUUGGCCCAACUAUCUAUGAGGUGGACUUCUUGGUAAUGGACAUCAACCCUUCUUACAGUUGUCUAUUAGGAAGGCCAUGGAUUCAUUCAGCAGGAGCGGUAUCAUCAUCGUUACAUCAAAAACUGAAGCUGGUGUCAGAAGGUCGGCUAGUGACGAUAAAUGCUGAAGAAGAUAUCAUUGCAUCUGUGACCAACGAUGCGCCUGAUUUGGAAACAAGUGAUGAUGCAAUCGAGUGCUCUUUUCAUUCCUUGGAGUUCGUAAAUGCAACAUUCAUCCUUGAGGAAAACAAGAUCCCGAUGUCGAGAAUAUCAAAGACCACAAAGAUGGGUCUGCAAUUGACAGUUGGAAAGGGAGCUUUGCCGAGAAAAAGAUUGGGGAAAUAUCUUCAGGGCCGAGUUGAGGCUCCAGUGUUGAAAGACAAGCAGGACCAUUUUGGCUUAGGAUACAAGCCAGAUGCUAGGCAGAAGAGGAUAGAGCAAGAGAAGAAGCGAGAGAGAAGAAGGGCUCGUUUGAUAGGUGAUCAAGUCAAAUGGGAGCCUAUGACCUUUCCUCACCUAUCUAAGACUUUUGUAUCGGGAGGAUUUAUCUAUCAAGGAAUGCUAGGAGUCGGAAGUAUUAACACGGAGUUAGAAAGUAUUCAUGCCGUGUAUGAAGAAGCGACGGGAGGAGGAACAUUGCAGGAUAUUCAACUUUACGAACCGAGAAGUGUGCUAAACAACUGGACUGCAGAAGAAAUACCUGUAGUUUUUAGGAUUUCCUCAGAGUAAUGUCCAGAACACCCUUAUUGCUUUUAGCCUAGAAGUGAUAAGGAUUCCUUUGUGAAAUAGGCUCAUGUCUAAAAAAUCGUUAUUUUAAUAAAGUUCAUUCUUGCAGUCAUUUUUGGAGCAAAUCUUUCUUUCUAUAAGAGCAGUUAUUUUGAAUUUCUCUCAAACUACACUUGCAUUUCAUUCAUGACCAUAUUGCACCAAAUAAAUUCCUGAAUCCAUAUUGUUUUUCAUAACAGGUCCUAUGAUAUCAAUGAUACGAAUGUCACUCUUACAAAUUUAGAGUCUCUUUUUGAACGAAACAUGUGUUUAGAAGGAUCGCAUGAUUUUGAAGAUGACGAAGACUGUGGUUUGUCUCCUGACUUGUUGAAGAUGGUAGAAAGGGCCGAGAAACAAAUCCUACCUCACAGGGAAUCAAUAGAAGUUGUGAGCUUGGAGGAAGGAAAAGAGGUGAAUAUCGGAUCUGAUAUUUCUGCAAAGAUAAGAUAAAACCUCAUCAGACUACUCCAGGAAUUCAAUGAUGUCUUUGCAUGGUCAUACCAAGAUAUGCCUGGGUUAAGUACGGACAUUGUAGUCCAUCGCCUUCCUAUAAAAGAAGAUUGCAAGCCAGUGCAGCAAAAGCUCAGAAGGAUGAGACCUGAUAUCGAGUUGAAUAUAAAAGAAGAGGUCCAGAAGCAGUUUGAUGCUGGAUUUCUGCAAGAAGUGAAGUAUUCUGAGUGGGUGGCCAACAUCGUACCAGUUCCAAAGAAAGAUGGGAAUGUACGAAUGUGUGUGGAUUACAGGGAUUUUAACAAGGCCAGUCCAAAAGACAGUUUCCCAUUACCUCACAUCGACACAUUGGUAGUCAAUACAGCGGACUUUUCAUUGUUUUCCUUCAUGGAUGGUUUUUCUGGGUAUAAUCAGAUAAAGAUGCAUCCCGAGGACAGGAGAAAGACUACGUUCAUUACGUUAUGGGGAACGUUUUGUUAUAAAGUGAUACCGUUUGGAUUAAAGAAUGCGAGAGCAACAUACCAAAGAGCCAUGGUAGCCUUAUUCCAUGAUAUGAUGCAUAAGGAGAUCGAGGUUUAUGUUGACGAUAUGAUCGCGAAAUCUAGAACGGAUGAGGAACAUGUGCAGGUCUUGAGAAAGUUAUUCUUAAGAUUGAGAAAGUUCCAGCUCAAGCUUAAUCCAGCGAAGUGCACUUUUGGGGCCAGGUCAGGAAAAUUGCUAGGCUUCAUAGUCAGUGAAAAGGGAAUCGAGAUUGACCCAGACAAAGUCAAGGCAAUAAGAGACUUACCUCCACCUCGCACUCAGAAAGAAGUUUGAGGUUUCCUCGGAAGACUGAAUUACAUCGCUAGGUUCAUUUCACAACUAACUGAGAAAUGUGACCCUAUAUUUUAUCUUUUGAAGAAACAUAAUCCUGGUACUUGGGAUGAAGAAUGCGAAGAAACUUUUAACAAGGUGAAGCAGUAUUUAUCUAAUACUCCAGUGCUAUCACCACCUAGCCCAGAUAGGCCGAUGAUAUUGUAUGUGAUAGUAUUUGAUAAUUCCAUGGGGUGUGUGCUAGGCCAACAUGAUGAAACGGGGAGAAAAGAAAGGGCGAUAUAUUAUCUCAGCAAGAAAUUCACUGACUGUGAAAUGAGAUAUUCGCCCAUUGAGAAGUUGUGUUGUGCCCUGAUUUGGACAACCCAAAGAUUAAGGCAGUACAUGUUAUACCAUACGACUUGGCUAAUCUCAAAGUUAGACCCGUUAAAGUAUAUGAUGGAUUCAACUGCUUUGAAUAGGAGGAUGGUCCGAUGGCAGAUUUUACUGUCUGAAUUUGAUAUCGUCUAUGUGAGUCAAAAAGCUGUAAAAGGGAGCGCAAUAACUGACUUUCUGGCUAGCAGGGCUUUGGAAGAUUACGAACCGUUAAGUUUUGAUUUUCCAAAUGAGGACUUGUUGUAUGUAGCUGCUAUUGAAGAAAAUCCCCAAGAACGUCACAGUUGGAAGCUAAACUUUGAUGGAGCCUCGAACGCUGUGGGCAAUAGAAUUGGGGCAGUCCUGGUGUCCCCGAAUGGUGAUCAUUAUCCUUUCACUUGCAAAUUGGAUUUUGAUUGUACAAACAACAUGGCAGAAUACGAAGCAUGCAUCAUGGGUAUUCGUGCAGCUAUAGAGCGAAGAACCAAAGUGCUAGAGGUCUAUGAAGAUUGAGUACUGGUGAUAUAUCAGCUUAGGGGUGAAUGGGAAACGAGAGAUCCCAAAUUAAUCAGUUAUCGAAAGUUGGUCCUCGAAUUGAUUAAGGAGUUUGAGGACAUCACUUUUUGCUAUCCCCUACGAGAUGAGAACCAGAUGGCUGAUGCACUAGCUACUUUAGCCUCUAUGAUCAAGGUGAACAAACAUGAGGAUAUGAAGCCUAUCCAAAUGAGUAUCUAUGAAAACCCAGCUCAUUGUUACAAUAUUGAAGAAGGAGAAAUCGAUGAUAGUCCUUGGUAUCAAGAUAUACUACGAUAUGUAAAAAAUCGUGAGUAUCUUGGCCAGGCAAUGGAGAAUGAAAAGAGAACUCUGAGAAGACUAGCCAUUGAUUACGUCUUAAAUGGGGAGAUCUUAUACAGGAGGGGAAAAGAUCAGGUACUGUUAAGAUGUGUGGACGCCGUAGAAGCAAAGAAAAUCCUGGAGGAAGUCCAUAAGGGCAUCUGUGGAACGCAUGCCAAUGGUUUCACAAUGGCUAGACAGAUUAUGAGAUUCGGGUAUUACUGUCCACCAUGGAAGGGGAUUGCAUCAAUUACUCCAAAAAGUGCCAUAAAUGUCAAAUCUAUGGUGAUAAAAUGCAUGCACCUCAUUCGCCUCUUCAUGUUAUGACUUCUCCAUGGCCUUUCUCCAUGUGGGGUAUGGAUGUCAUCGGGCCAAUAUCGCCGAAGGCUUCAAAUGGGCAUCGUUUCAUAUUUGUGGUUAUUGACUACUUCACCAAAUGGGUAGAAGCUGCUUCGUAUGCUAGCGUUACAAAGUCAUCAAUCAGUAAGUUCUUGAAAAAGGAGAUCAUAUGUCGAUAUGGAAUGCCUGAAAGAAUCAUAUCCGACAAUGCGCUGAACCUGAACAACAGCUAAAUAGUAGAAGUCUGCAGUCAAUUCAAGAUUAGACAUCACAAUUUAUCGCCGUAUUGCCCAAAAAUGAAUGGUGCAGUGGAAGCGGGUAAUAAAAAUAUAAAAAAGAUUGUGGGGAAGAUGACUGAGACUUACAGGGACUGGCACGAGAAAUUAUCGUUUGCCCUCCUUACUUAUCGAACGUCAAUCAGGACCUCCACCGGGGCAACGCCUUUCUCCUUAGUUUAUGGCAUGGAAGUAGUCUUGCCUAUCGAAGUUGAAAUCCCUUCUCUCCGGGUUUUGACUGAGCUACAAUUGGAUGAAGCAGAAUGGGUUCAAUCUCGAUACGAUCAGUUGAACUUGAUAGAGGGAAAAAGGCUAAAGACUAUUUAGCAUGGUCAGAUGUAACAGAAAAGAAUGAUGCGAGCCUACAACAAGAAGGUCCGACCUAGAGAAUUUCACGAUGGGGACCUGGUGUUGAGAAAAAUUCUUCCUCUACAAAAAGAUUUUAGGGGGAAAUAGAUGCCGAAUUGGGAAGGUCCUUAUGUUGUAAAAAAGGCCUUUUCUGGAGGAGCCCUAAUCUUGGCUGAAAUGGAUGGAAGAAACUUGCCUAAUCCAGUAAAUUCAGAUUCGGUCAAGAGAUACUUUACUUGAAGAAGGGAAGGAACCAAGGUGAAAACCCGCAAAGGGCGCUUUGAUUCCAAAAAAAAUAAAAAAAUAAAAUAAAAUGGAGAGGCUAGGGUGAAAACCCGCAAAGAGCACCUUAAGACCAAAGGGGUUUGAGUUGAAAACCUGACAAGGGCGGCUCAAAGUCUGAUUGAAGCACGUGGUAGUCUUGUUGUACCUAAAUCGGCAGAAAGGAAUAGAUGACAUCUUGGGGCAUCAACAAAAUACUAUGAAUCUCAUAAACACGUGUUAAAUUCAGAAGGGUCCUCAGAAAGUUGUAUAGAGCAAUUCAAGCAAAGAUAUCUGGGGCAGUUGUCCAUAAUUUGUGUUUCUAAAACACUUCAUUCUUUUUCAAUAUAAGUGUUUUAGUCAAUUUCCUUUUUUUUUUGACUUGUUUUCAUUGAUAAUUUAUUGCAAGUUAUGAUCUCAAGUCAAUUUCGUUUUAUCUAUCAUUAUGAUCUUUUCAAAAGCAUGUUGCAUUAGAAUAACGAUUAAUGGACUAAUAAAACUUUCACAAGGAAAGUUUUUCAUAUUACUCUGGAAAUUUCUAAAUAAUACAAGAACCUGAAGCAGGACUAUUGUUUAGACUUCACCGGGUUAAAAGGUCGAAGAUAUAUAGGAGUAAAAAGCCGAAUCAAGAAUUUUUGAGUUUUUUUCGAAGCGUUGUUAUGACAAAGGAAGCCUUAAUGUGUAAUAACGACUUCAAUAUUUAGCGUUAAUGAAUCAUUUUCAUGACAUAGCAUUUAGAUGUCAUUCAUACAUGCCUAGUUAAGAGCAUGUGAUCCAUUCCAAUCAUGAUAUCCUAAUCACUAGGCAUAAUUAGGUUUAUCAUACAGGUCAUGUUCCACAGAGAACAGGUCGGUGGAAUCAUAAAACCUUAUCUCCUUGAGCAGCAGUGGAGCAGGUUGAAAGAUAACAGAUAUUGUCUUCAUGUACUAGCGUGAAGUACAUCAGAGAUACCAGAUCUUGCCUUCCCAUACUGGUGGCGAAGCUGGUUGAAAGAUAACAGAUCUUGUCUUCAUGUACUGGCGUGAAGUAGAUCAGAGAUACCAGAUCUUGCCUUCCCAUACUGGUGGCGAAGCAGGUCAAAGAAAACAGAUCUUGUCUUCAUGUACUGGCGUGAAGUACAUCAGAGAUACCAGAUCUUGCCUUCCCAUACUGGUGGCGAAGCAGGUCAAAGAAAGAAGAUCUUGUCUUCAUGUACUGGCGUGAAGUAGAUCAGAGAUACCAGAUCUUGCCUUCCCAUACUGGUGGCGAAGCAGGUCAAAGAAAGCAGAUUUUGUCUUCAUGUACUGGCGUGAAGUAGAUCAGAGAUACCAGAUCUUGCCUUCCCAUACUGGUGGCGAAGCAGGUCAAAGAAAGCAGAUAUUGUCUUCAAGUACUGGCGUGAAGUAGAUUAGAGAUACCAGAUCUUGCCUUCCCAUACUGGUGGCGAAGCAGGUCAAAUAAAGCAGAUCUUGUCUUCAUGUACUGGCGUGAAGUAGAUCAGAGAUACCAGAUCUUGCCUUCCCAUACUGGUGGCGAAGCAGGUCAAAGAAAGCAGAUCUUAUCUUCAUGUACUAGCGUGAAGUAGAUCAGAGAUACCAGAUCUUGCCUUCCCAUACUGGUGGCGAAGUAGGUCAAAAAAAGCAGACCUUGUCUUCAUGUACUGGCGUGAAGUAGAUCAGAGAUACCAGAUCUUGCCUUCCCAUACUGGUGGCGAAGCAAGUCAAAGAAAACAGAUCUUGUCUUCAUGUACUGGCUUGAAGUAGAUCAGAGAUACCAGAUCUUGCCUUCCCAUACUGGUGGCGAAGCAGGUCAAAGAAAGCAGAUCUUGUCUUCAUGUACUGGCGUGAAGUAGAUCAGAGAUAACAGAUCUUGCCUUCCCAUACUGGUGGCGAAGCAGAUCGAAGAAAACAGAUCUUACCUUCCCAUACUGGUGCCGAAGCAGAUCGAAGAAAACAGAUCUUGUCUUCAUGUACUGGCAUGAAGUAGAUCAAAGAUAAUAGAUCUUGCCUUCCCAUACUGGUGGCGAAACAGAUCGAAGAAAACAGAUCUUGUCUUCAUGUAUUGGCGUGAAGUAGAUCAAAGAUAACAGAUCUUGUCUUUCCAUACUGGUGGUGAAACAGAUCGAAGAAAGCAGAUCUUAUCUUCAUGUACUGGCGUGAAGUAGAUCAAAGGUAACAGAUCUUGUCUUCCCAUACUGGUGGCGAAACAGAUCGAAGAAAGCAGAUCUUGUCUUCAUGUACUGGCGUGAAGUAGAUCAAAGGUAACAUAUCUUGUCUUCCCAUACUGGUGGCGAAGUAGAUCGAAGGAAAAAGCGGAUCUUAUCUUCAUGUACUGUCGUGAAGUAGAUCAAAGAUAACAGACCUUGUCUUCCCAUACUGGUGGCGAAGUAGAUCGAAGAAAGUAGAUCUUGUCUUCAUGUAUUGGCGUGAAGUAGAUCGAAGAAAGCGGAUCUUGUCUUCAUGUAUUGGCGUGAAGUAGAUCGAAGAAAGCGGAUCUUAUCUUCAUGUAUUGGCAUGAAGUAGAUCGAGGAAAGCAGAUCUUGUCUUCAUGUAUUGGUGUGAAGUAGAUCGAAGAAAGCAAAUCUUGUCUUCAUGUAUUGGCGUGAAGUAGAUCGAAGAAAGCAGAUCUUGUCUUCAUGUAUUGGCAUGAAGUAGAUCAAAGAGAGCAGAUCUUGUCUUCCCAUAUUGGUGGCGAAGUAGAUCGAAGAUACAAGUCUUAUCCCCCUGAAGUUGCAGUGGACCAGACAGAAAUAACCGAUCCUAUCUCCUUGGAAUUGCAAUGGAGUAGAUUAAAAUCACAGAUCUCAUCUCUCUGAAAUUGCAGUUGAGCAGAUCGCAUCCGAUUUAUCUUUAAGUCGUAGCAGAACAAGUCGAAGUUAUAAGUCUUAUCUCCCUGAAGAUACAGUGGAGCAGAUUAAAGAUAGCAAAUUUUGUUCUUUCGAGACGCUAUAACAUAUGAAUCUUAUUUCCCCGACAUUGUAAUGGGGUAGAUCGAAGCACCAGUUCCUAUACAUCUGAAGAUACAGUAGGAGGGAAUGUGGUUACUUGAAGAAGAAAAGCACUGAAGAAGGCGAGGCUCAGUAAGACCGGGUACAAUCGGGCUUUUAGUCUUUGCUCUACUCCCGUUACACGACAAUGAGCAAAGAGGGGCAGCUGUACAAGCCCAAUAAUGCCCGGGCCCAAACCCAAUAAACUAAACCAAAACCCAAUAGCUAAUUCCUAACCCAGGCCCGAAACUAAUGGAAAAUGGAAGGGUUGGGAAGCCCUAGCAGCAGCCCCCGCCUCCAGCAGACUCUCCAGGCGCCGCACGUCUCGGGGCCGACCUCUCCACACGCGCCAUUUGCUCCACGAACGCCUGCAAACGCGGACUCAAUGAGUCCGAAAGAAAAAAACAACAAGAAAUAACAUUAUUUCAUUAUUUUCUUUUUCUUUUUCGGGCUAUAAAAAGCCAUUUCUAAUCUGUAAAAUGGGGGUCGAAAAAUAUAUGCAAAGAUAUAGAGAGAAAAUACAAGAAUUAAACUUGUUUUUGCAUAGGUGAUUUCUUCUUUGUUUUGCUUUGCAGUGUCCAUCGUUUUUUACAUAUAUAUAGUUUUAUUCUCUUUUAUUUUCGUUUUAUUUCAUUUAAAAUAAUAAAGAAAAGAAGGGAUCUUACCUCUUUCGUCAAAGUCCCCGGAUGGUUGCCAUCUCCGUCGCAAUCGGAGCGUUGGCACGAACGGCGGCGCAAAAUGGGUUAAAAGAGCCCUAGCAGAGCAACUAUUCUUUUUUUUUAAAUGUUUGCUGUGGCUGUUGUUUUGAAGGAAAAC